rnacentral:lncRNA from 1 species
GUGGAGGAGGAGUAUUCUCUUCUUCCUUGACUUCAACAGCGGCGGGUGCAUCCGUUUCUACCUUGGGUUCUUCUGAAAUUGCAGCAGCAGGUGUCUCUUCCUCUUUUUCUUCUUUUUUCUCUUCCUUGUUUUCUUCUUCUUCUUUCUUUGGCUCAGGCUCAGGCUCAGCUACAGGUUUUUCUUCUGCUUUGGGUUUGGCAGUGAACUCGUGGUUGUUAAGGGCUUCUUGAAUAAGCUGCUUAAGCUCAUCAAGGGCCUUCUUUUGAGGCUCAGGAAGUUCACCAGCGAUAUUAGUUUCCUCUUUGAAAGAAACAGACUGGGUUAUCUUAGUUUCUUCCUUUUCUUCAACCUUGGGCUUCUCAACUUCAACAGCUUCUUCUUCAACAGCAACAACAGCCGGCUUCUCGGGCACCUCAGGUUCCGGCAGGGGAGCAGGUGCGGAGGGUUGUGGCUCUUUCUCAGUAACUUGAGGCUUCUCGACAACCACAGACACCUCCUGGGCGGGGGCAGCAGGUGCAGAUUCAGAGUCAAGAGUCUCCUGGGCCAUGGGUAAGUAAGAGAGGAAGAAUGAAAGUUGUAAGAAAGGGAGAAGAAUGAAGAGGGGGCUUAAAAAUGGAAGAAACAAGAGUGUGAGAGUGGAAUGACAGCUAGCUUAUCUUAUAGGAGUGAGUUAAGGAGUGGACCCCCGACAUUGUUCCUCUUCCAUUUCCAAACCGCUAUCUUUGCCACUUCUUAUGCGCUGCCAUUUUCCCUUUUUUUCACUAAUUUUCAUUUUUUUUUUCUGUUCAAUCUUGGCGUUACAUCUGCGCUUAUUUUGGUAAUCAAUCCCUACAUACGGUUAAGUUUCAAGUCCAAAUACAUUCAGCUCAAUAUUUUAAUUAAAAAAUUACUCUUGCGUAUAACAUUUUUUACUGUCAAUUACAAAUAGAUUUUUUUACUCAAAAAAAUCUACGUGUAGUGUGUCAGCCAAUAAUGGAAGAACAAAAAUACUAAUAAUAGAGGGGAUUUCUUGUCACACCUCUGGCAUACCUUUAUUUAUUUUCACUAUCCAUUUAAAAUUAUCAUUUUUAUUUAAAUUUAAAUAAGUUGAGGUGGAAAAUAAAAAUAAAAAAAUUUUGAGGUGACCCACUUAUGACACAAGGAGUUGUAAUUAUUUUGUUUAUAAAGUUGAAAGUUAUCAAGAUUUGAAUUUUAAACAUUGUGCUUAAUUUGUUGAAAUUAAUUCAAACUAAAACAGGAAAAAUGAGAGUGAAGCCACCUCAUCGUGAGGUAUGCAAUUUGCAAAUCUUACUUGGGAUUUAAAAUUCUAAUUACAAAGAUUAUUUCCUUUCACCCUUGCCUUUUCUACCAAAAAAAAAUAAUAUUAUAUUACCAAAUUUAAAAUUAUAUUCCUUAAGCACAUCACAAAUAUAUUUAUAUAUUUAUUUUUAGUUUAAAUUAAUAAAUCAUUUCUUGUUUGGUUAUAUUUUAACAUUUUUAUCUAAAUUAACAUCUAUGUCAAAAUUAAAUAAUAUUAAAAAUUAUUAACUCUUUAUAAAAUCAUAUUGCAUCCAAAUAUUUUUAUUUUAAAAAAUAAUAACUGAUUGUUAAUAUCUAGAAAACGAAUUUUAAAAAAGAUUUCAAAAAAAAAAAAGAAUGAUAAUUUUUUUUUAAUUUCUUAAAAAUAAAUUUAAAAUUAGAAACUUCAGAGUCCAAAAAUGAUCUCUUAUUUCCUAUUUUUAUAUUAUUUUAGGAUUAAUAAAUUUUUAUUUGAUUAUGGGAUCUGUUUUAGUGUAGAUAUAAAGAAGAUCGGAAGUUCUUACCCUAUUCUCUUCUGUCUUGAGUUACAAUCCUCUUUUAAAAAAUUAAAACCUUAAAAGCAUCUUACUGGACAAAAAGCCUUAAUUUUUCUAGUUUUUCUACUUGUCAGAAAAUGGCUACUUUAAGGUUUCAAAAAUAGCUUGUAAUAUAUUAAAUCUUAAAUAUGGAAAAAUUUCUCUUCCUUCUUUUUCAAUUUUGUUCUUAUUAGAUUUUAUUACAAUUGUAUUUUAUUAUUAUAAAACUUUAUUUUAUAAUUUAAAAAAUUAUAUAGAUGUAUGCGAGACCUGUGGGGAAAUUUAUUAGUGAAAUAUAAAAUGAUACAAAAGUUGUUUGUCACUUUUUUAGAAAGAUGGGAUUUGAAAUGCAUAAAUUUCACUUUUUACGCAACGAAACAACUAUAACGUUAGAGGAUGUCACUUUAAUAACCAACCUUUUAAUGGGUGGGCAGACGAUAAUCAAAGAUAGUAACAUAGACCUAGAGUUAUUAUGUUAUCCGUUGUUGGGUGUUAUGCCAACCAAGAAAAGAAAAAAUACAUUGAGAAUCAGGUGAAAUGCACAAGAUUGUAGAAACCUAUCAAACCAACCAUUCUACAUAAAUGAGUUAGUAAAAUAUAACACCAAAAAUAUAAGAGAUUAAAACGAUGGUGUUUGCAAGUAUAUAGGUCAAAUUGUAAUAUAAUUUAGUACAAUGAAAUACUUGGGAAGUAUUCCUAAAAUUGUACCCAAGGUAGGAUGGAAAAAAUUAUGAAAACUUUUUUGCAAUAACAAAUCUAAGUAGUAGUAAUUAAUUCCUAUAUUAUGAUAAAGCAUAAAGUAGAUUAAAGAGACAAAUCAAUUAACUAAAAUAAAUAAACAAGGAAAAAUAAAUAAACAAUUUAAAUCAAAUAACCAAUCAAGAAGAUUGACUCACUUCAGGAUUUGUAAUUAACUUUGGUCAGGGUUUUAGGGUGGAUUAGCUAACGAUUAAUCAAUUAUUACCUCCCGACCUCUAAUUAACUAAUCGAUUGGUUGAUACUCGCUUAUCUCCCGAAUUUUGUCUAGCCUAUGAUAGUUUCCUAAGGUUGUCAUCUUAGUGGUUUAAGCACACACAUAAUCUAUACUAACUAACCCUCUUCAGAAAACCCUAAACCCUAAUAGAUCAAGUGACAUUUUUAUAUUGACAUAUAUAUAAUUAAAAUUUAAAAGUAAAAUAAAAUCACACCUAAUUUCAAAAAAAAAAAUAUAGACAAGUAUAAAAUUGUGGACAAAAUAUAACCAGGAAAUUGUGGAAAAAAUUACAAUAACGUGGAUUAAAAUAUUAAUUCUAACAUUUUUUUUUAUAGGGAAAAAAGAAGAAGAGAACUUUCCAUGGGGCAAUAGAAGAGUUUAAAGACAAAAAGACUAGGUACAAAUCUGAUCAAAUAUCACUCAAAUUGAUUUGAAAACUAGAAUGAAGCAAAUAAUAAUUCAAAAUGAUAUUGAUUGGUAAUUAGGGAAAUGUCAAAUUAAUUGAUGAAUGAAACUGAAACGGGGGUAUGCUUUUUUUAAUCUUGGAAACAAUGUGCGGUAUAAGCUUAAGAUAAUGUCAAAUCCUUCAUUGCACGAUGUCUACCAAGACAAGACAAAUUCACUAAAACAGUGAUGUUAUUACAACAUUGUUUUGUUGACAACUUUCUUAACAUCUCACUUGAUAAAAAGCAAUUUAAAUAUUUAAAAAGAAAUAACAUUAUUCAUCUAGUUUUCCUAAAAUCUAAUAUACUCAAUUUUCUUUUCUCAUCAACUAUUUUUACAUUUUAUAAGUAUGAUUUUUACAUUUUAUGUUGGGUUAAUUACUUUUAAAGUUAAAUUAUAAAGUAACAAUUUUAAAUGUAGAAUAUGUUCUAAGUUUUUGUGUUUUUCAAAUAUUUAAAAUUUAGUUACCAUAUUUUUAUUUUUAAAAAUUUAAUCUCUUUAUUUUUUCAAAUUUAAAAAUUCAUUUUUACUGAUUGAAACCGUUAAAUUUUUUUUGUUACAUUCGUUGAUAUGAUGUUUUGAAAAUAAAAAAAAACUUACUUGAUAAUUAUAUAACAAAAAUAAUAUUGUAAUAAAUUUUAAUUAAAUAGAAAAUUUAAACCAUAUUAGCAAUUAUUAAAAUUCACACAAGUAUUUAAAUCAGAAUAAAGUAUCUAAAUUAACUAAUAAUAUUACAAAUAUUAAGUUACCGAAAUUAUGUCAAAAAUUAAAUAUUAAAUUUAAGAAUAGAAUAAGAACUAAAAUUAAAACUGAAUCAUUAUUAUAUAAUCUUAAAAAGUAAAGAAAUUAGAAUUGAAAAUUAAUAUCGUUUUAUAAUUUCAAGAAAAAGAAGAAGAGAAAUAUAAUGAACAGGUGUGUCAAGGAGGGCGUUACGAUUUCCUUAUAUAUAGUAGUAAUAGUUCAGUUAAUUGCAUCAAAUAUUUUUAAAUUAAAUAUUCUUUUUAAAUUAGUUUUUAAAUUUUAAAAUACUUUGUUAUAUCUUUAAACUUAUCAAUGUUAUAACAAUAAAGUUAUUUACUUAAUUUAAUUAUUUAGAUCUUAUGUGACAUAAUUUAAAAUAAAAAUUUAAAAAAAAAUUGAAUGCUGUAAAAAUAGAUAUGAUAAAAAUCUUAAUUUUUAAGUUUUCGAAGGUUUUACAAAAAUUAUGGUUCAUUCUCUUUUUUUUUGGUUUUACUUUAUUUUUAAUUUUUAAUUUUAAAAGUUAUGCGUCAACAUUUUACUUUUCUUUAAAAUUUUCAUUUUAAAUUAUUUUAAAUUACAUCAUAUAAUAUUUUACGUAUCAUUUAAUUGUUAAAUCAACAGUUUUAAUAAUGAAAAGUCCUACUUGAUAAAAUAUUGAUAAUUUAAAAUGUAAUUAGGAUAUUUUUAAAAUUUGAAACUCAAUUUAAAAUAUAAAUGGUAAUUUGAGAUCUUUGGUACAACUAACUCUAUUUUCCUCCUUUCACUUAAAAUGAGGUUUUUUUUUUAACAAUUUCAUUAUAGAUUCUAAUAAUAUCUAUUUUUUUAUAUAAUAUUUAAAAUUAUCAAUAGCCUAUCUUUAACCUAUAAAUAAAAAAAUAAUACGCUUUAAUAUACUCAAACUCACAUUCUCUUACAUUAAUAAUAAUAUCAAUGUCAAUUGAACUAAAACUCUAUAUCCUGUUCAUUUAAAGAGUUGGAGUGUUAUUAUCUAUUAGUUUUGAAUGAAUUUAUAUAUUUUUAUACUAUUUCUUAUUUUGAUUUAUUUUAUAUGCUGAGAAUAUAGUUUUAAAUUUACCGGAAUAUAUAUUUCAUGGCAAUGAUUUCCGGCACGUGUUAUAACGAUGACCCUGGUUCUGCCACGUGUCUAAGCCCUAGAAACAGGCUGUUAUUUUAUCAAAACCGCAGUUCUUUCUUUUAAAAUUUGAGAAAUCUCAUGAUAUCUUUGGUAAAAAAAAGAAAAAAAAAGCCGGCCUAUAAAUUUGAAAAAAAAAACAAACAGAUUGAAAUAGUUGGGACCCACGCCAAUUGGGCAAGUGGUUUUUUAUUUCCUUUGCUUCUUAAAGCAAACCCAAAGCUGUCUGGUUUUUCUUUGCUGUCCUUUUGAGGGUCCCUUUCCAUAGUUUUUCGAAUUUUAAAAAUUCAAAAUUGUUUUAUAUAUUUUUUAUUUGUUUCAGUUAAAAUAACAAUAAUAAUUAAUGGACCGUUUGAAAUAAAGAAAAGACAAAAGACAGCGAAAUUGAGUAGAGAACAUAGGAACGUGCCAGGGCUGAUUGUUGUGUCGGGACCCACAACAGGAAGGCUAAAUGUUCGAUUUGGCUCUGCUCUGCACUUGUUUACAUUAUUACUACCUUUGUUUUUAUUCUUAUUUAUAGUUAUUGUCUUAUUGCUUUAUAAUUAAUUUUAUUAUAUUCUUUUUGCUUAAUACAAUAUUUAUUAUCUUUUCUUCAUUUUGUACCUAAAAUUUUUUGAGCCCAAUUCAGUCUAUAAAUUUAAUAUUUUUUAAUUGGAUACAUAAGUUUUUUAAAUUCAAUUUAGUACUUAAAUUUAUUAAAUAUUAUACAAAUGAUGCAAAACACUAAUAUUGUUUUUUUGUUAUGCUACAAAAUAUUGCCAAUAUUAGAGAAAAUUCAUGUUAAAAAAUAAGUAUUGAGCUAUGUUUAACGAAUUAAUAUUAAACAAGAUUUUAAAAAAACUCAAAUUAAAAUAAAUUCAUUAUUUUCAAUUAAUAAAACUGAAAUUAAUUGAGCAUAUAAAAUACAAAAAAAUCAUAUAAUCUGUCACAUGUCGGUCAUACAUUGAUUAUUUUUGCAACCUCAUAAAUAAAACAAUGUUGUUAGCAUAUUAGAAUAAUUUGUAAAACGUUUGGCAAGUACCAAAUCGAACAAAAAAAAAGAGUAGGUAUCAAAUUAGGAAAGAGUCGAAUUCAAGCACCAGAUUGGACCCCAAAAAAGUUUAAGUUCCAACUUAAGAAAAAGUGUCAAGUUUAGGUAUCAAAUUAGAAAAAAUUGUCAAGUUUAGGUACCAAAUAAGACAAAAAAAAAUUUAGGUACUAAAUUUGAAAAAAAAUGUUAAGUUCAGAUACCAAAUAUUAUAUUAAACCUAUUAUUUUAUCAAUUUUAAAAUAUUUAUUAAUUACAUUCAUAUAUAUAUAGAUCACUUUAAUUGAUUAAUUAAUUAAUGUCUUUGAUGUAUAAAAUGUUGUAUGUUGCGUCUUGACUUGUAAAUAACAAUAAUUAAAUAUCUAUUUAAUAUGAAUUCAAACUGUAUGAUAUAUUUCUAGUUUUUAACUUAAUUUAAUUUAAUUCCAGCUAUAUAUAUUUAUAAAUUGGGUGGGUGGUUUUGUGUGAAUUUUGAUUUGGAAGCCUAUAAAUACUAGAGUAGUUUUCAUUUAAUUUUGGAUAUUCGUUAGGUGUAAAUUAUUGAUGGAAUCAUAGUGGAGUUUAGACUUUAGAUAACGCAUUCAUAAAUAAAUGAAUAUAUAAAUAGAAAGAGCAGGCAUUCCUUAAUUCAUUUUUCUCAUAUUAAAUGAAAUUUCAGGCCUAUUAACUACCAUGACCAAAAAUGUUCAUCCUCAUUUUCUUUCCUUUUUACUUUUUUAUUUCCUACCAAGCACCUUCAAUUUUUUUUUUUUUAACUUCUUCAUCCAAUCAAACUUAUUAAUCAAAUUUUAAAUUAAAAAUACAAAAAAAUUAUUUUCAACAAAAAUGAAUAUAGAAAAAAAAGAUAAAAAGAACUCCUAAAAUCCCUAAAAAGUAAAAACUCUUCCAUUUAAAGAAAAUUAACAUCAUAACUUUACUUUUCUCGAUUAAAAUUCAUCCCUCUCAUGGGACCCAUAGUCAUUUUUGACCAAUAAGGACUUGACACAAAUCCUAAAUUUAGAAGUUUUAAAUUAAGUUAGAGAUUUAUUAUGUAAAAAUAAAUUGUUCCAAUUAUUUAUUCGUUUGUUUGUGUUGUACACAUUGUUCCAAUUUUUAAUCUAUUUGUAAAGAUUUAAAAAAUCAAUGUUGAGUUUGUCAUCAUCAUAAUGGAACACAAUGGAAUCAAAAUGAAAGUAUGUUGAAUUGAGUGAUUAUAAAAGGUUGUUGGGGUCGUUUAAUUGAAUGGAGUCUUGUAUUAAAUUUUAGGAAUAAAGAUUUCAUAUGUGUUUCUACUAUAAGGUGGGAAUUAAUUUAGUCCAUAUAUCGAGAGAGAACAAAAGAAAAAGACAAUUGAUUCAUAAUCUAUUUAAGUUAAGAGCAAUUUGCUCCCUUUCAAAUAAACCAAUUUUGUUCAAUUAUUUACUUUUGUAAACAUUGUAAAAAUCAUCUAUAAAUAUACUUAUAUUGCUUGGUUUACUUUUAAAUUUUUAAAAUUAUUAUAAUUAAUAAUAUUUCAAAACAUUCAUAAAAAAAAAACAAUUAAUGAAUUUUUAUUUAAUUUUUUAGAAUAUUCUAUAAUUUUAUGAAGUUAUAUAUUUUAUUAAAAAAAUUUAUUUCUUUUUUUUAAAUUCAAUCAAUUGCUCAUUUCCACGACCAUGUUUUUACAUAUGCCUUUUGACCUUUUCAAACCUCUUAUCUUUUCUUCGGAACUUAAGUUUUUAUUAACACAAAAAUUAGUUAUUUGAAUGAAAAUCCAAUAUGGAUUCAUGGGGAAGACGAAGGGCUUGGUCUUCAAAUCUAAUGAAAACAAGAAGCUCUUCCUCCCACCUAGUAGGUUUUAGAAAAUAUCAGAACUCACUUCAAACAAUAUUAAAAUAUUAAAGUUUAAAUUGAAUAAUUCAAAUUGUAAAAAAAAAAUUCUAUAAAAAAGAAUAGGAUAAAACUUUUCAAACCAAAAUUUUUUAUUAACGAAAAUUGUUAACAUCACAUUAAAUUUUUUAUUUACUCAAUUUUAAAUAUUAUAAAGACGAAAUGAAUUGCUCCAUGCAUUAUAGUUUAUGAAUGAAAAUAAUAUCGAGAUUAAAAGCUACUUAUAUUGUUUUAUAUAUAAAUAAAGAGUAAUAGUGAGACAGGUAGGAUCCAACUAACAUCAAAAAUGGUCAAAUACGUAAUCAUAAAUCAUUGUAAUCACAAGAAUCCACCGAUUUUGGUUUUUAUUUGUUUUGUUGUCAAAACUGCAAGUAUGUUGGUAUAACGUUCUAAGAACGCAAUGUUUUGCAUGUUAAGAGUUGAAGGAAUACAGCUGGGUAUGAGAAAUAUAGACCUCCAUUAUACAUACAUACUCAACACACAACCUACUUACUUCAACUGUUUAUGGAACACCACACCCAUUACCUUUGUUUCUCAAUAAAUAAUCCUUUUUUUAUAUUUUAUAUUUUUUUUUGUUUACUUCCAAGUUUUAAUAAAUAAUUAAGAUUAAAAUGUCAUAAAUCUACAUAAAGCCUAUGAUAUGAUAUAUAAUAUUUGGGUUAUAUCAAUAAUUAACAAGUGUUAAGUGCAACUCUCGAAAGUAAAAUUUAAAUUUAAACUUUGAAAAUAAUACUAUUAAAAUGAAAGCGCAACCAUACCUGAUUGAAUUCAGGCUUUAAAUUUCUAUUUACUAUAUCUAGGAAUCCAAGCUCAUUUAAAUUUUUUUUUUUUUUGGUCUGAAAUAGAUAUUAUUAUUUCCACUCGCAAUGAAUACUUUCCUUGUAUAUAUAUAUAUAAAGUUUUAGUAGAUAUUAUUAUUUGGAUUAAAAUUAAUGUACAAUGGAAUUCAAACUUUAAAUUACUAUUUGUUCACGUGAGAGUCUAAGUUUAUUAAAUUUUUUCUGUCUAAAAUAAAUAUUAUUUGUAUAAUUUUUGUUAAUUUGGUGUUUUAUCUUUUAAAAGUACAUAAUUAUUUUUAAUAAAUUUUAAAUAUUAAUUUUUCAUAUUUUAAAUAAAAAAAUAUUAAUAUUUCAACAUAACUAGCCAUUAGAAUCGAAAUCCACAUAUCGAUUACUGAUUUGAGAUUACAAGAAUUCUAUAUCUAUAUUUAACAAAAUCAUUACCUCAUAAUCACCCCAAUGUCAAUUUGGGAUUCCCAUGCAAAAUUCAUCCGAUCGGACAUAAUCCAUGAACUUCAAUUAAGUAAUUAAUCAUGUAUUGAAGUCUCAAUUUUGAAUAUGCUCAUUUUUCAUUCCAGUUUUAAUCUCUUUCACCUUAUGCUUUCUAAAUUGCUUCCGCACAAAACCAGAAAUGGUUGUACAUUUGUUUUAUUCUUACACUGUCUUUUUCGUUGUGUUUUAAUUUAAUAAAGAUAAGUCUUUGAUUUAAUUAUUUAUGCGAAAAGAAAUUAUACUUCUAGGCUCUAGCUUCCUUCUCAAAAUAACUGGAAAAAAUAUUUGGUCAAAUAGUUAUCUUUUUAAUUUAGAAAAAUAAAUUUAUUUUGGAGAGAGUAACUAAAAGUGCGUUCAACUAGUAAUAAUAAAAUAAAGGAAAUUUUUGAGUUUGAUUCUUGUAGAUAUAGAAAGCUUAUCCUCUAGCUAGAGAUCCAAUUCGGUUCGACUCUAAAUUUAAUCAAAACUCAAAAUGACUAUCAAAUGCUAAGAAGUCUCACUCUCAUACUCAUAAACAAACAAAAAAAAUAUGAAUCAAAUUGAGUUACAUCAAAUUUUAAUAUUAAAUAUAUUUGUCCAAGUUCCAACUCAUCGCAACAGACUCUUAAAUUCUUUUCAUUAUUUAUGAUAUAUUAAAUAUUAUAAAUAUUUCUAUGGUGAUAUUUAUAUAUUUUGAUAAUUAAAAGUAAAUAAAAAUAUUUUUAUGGAGUAAAAUAAUACUUAAACCCCAAUGAGGCUUUGACAAUGUUUAGAAAAGUUGAAGUUCACAGGCUUUAAUAGUUUAGGUUUGAGUUUCACCGUGUACAAAAGAUUUGAGUUUCGCCGUGUACAAAUGCUAUGUAUGAGCUCUCCUUGGUAAUAUUUUGGAUAUAUGUUCUACCACGACUACCACGACUGAGCUCUUUUUGAAUUUAUUUUGGUCUAAGUCUAGAAAUAUUUUAGUUUUCAGUUUGUUAUAUUUUGUAUUAGAUUGAUUAUAAUUCUAAUCCUAAUGGAUUGAAGAUAUAUUAAUUGUAAUUUGUAUGUUACUUAUUGGUAUACACCUCCGCCAGAAAGACACAUGUCAAGUUCAAAGGACAUUGUUGACUCACUUCAAACGAAACCUACCAUCUGUGUUCACAGGCGAAUGUUAUUCUAAUGUGAACACACUUCCAAAAUAAUGAGACCAUUUAAGCUUAAUUACUUCAUACUGGUAGAAUCACAUAAUAUGUGCUCGUGAUUAUCCAUUAUGUAUUUAAAGAGAUUAAAUGCUUAUCUAGCCAAUAUUAUACAAGUGGCAAAUGAGACUUUUUCCUAUAAAUAUCUUAGAAAAUUAUGGGCAAAGGAUCAACCAUUUUUAUACUCUAGAAUUACUUUGAGCAUUUAUCUUAUCAAUCAACUUGUCCCAUAAUCCUUAUUCCGACUCUUAACCUCUAUAGAUGAACCAAUCUUCACUACACCAUUUUGAUCUCUUGCUUUCUCCGCUUUAUUUUUCUCCUGUAUCAACACUUAUUCUCAAAAACUCUUUUAAAAAAAUAACACUGGGAGCGCAUAUUCUAUACUAAAUCUAAUUUAAUCUAAGUAAGAUUUAAUUAAUUGGAUGAUUGAACAGAUUUAAAUGAGAAAUUAUGGUUUUAAUUUUAUUUAGAAAGGUUGAGAGAAUCUAGCUGAUUUUGUAUUCUACAUAUAGAUGGAAAGGCCCAAUGGACAUCUCUAUAUCUAAAACCCCAACAACCUAAGGCCCAUCGUGAGAAGAAUCAUCUAAGCACUGUAGUUUUUUUUUUAACAAAAUAAAACUCAUUUUCUCAACUAAUAUUAAAUACUCUCAUUCUAUGAACUAAUGGUUCCUAUUUUACUUUUUUUUUAUAAAUUUUUACACCACCUCAAAACGUGGAUGCGAUUGUUUUCUGAACCAAUGGCAUAGUGGGAGGACUAAAUUCAAAUAGACUAAUUUAUCCAAUUAGCCUCUCAAUUAUUAAUUUAUUUUUAUUUUGAUCACCAAAUUAUAAAAAAAAUUAAUCUCAUUACUAACGUUUUUAUUCAUUUUUGUUUUGGUAACUCAUUGGUUAAAUUUAUUAACAGAGAUGGUGAGGUGAUCAUUUUUAACCUAAUAUGAUAACAUAUUUAGUCCUCAAUACUUGCACAUUUUAUCAAAUUAACCCUAAUUUUUUAAAAAAGUUACCUCACCAUUGCUGUUAAUAAUUUAAUUAGGAGUGACCAACACAAAAAUGAAUGAUAUUGUUAGUAACAAAAUUAAAAGUGAUUAUGCUAAUAAUUAAGUGACUAAUUGUAUAGUUCACCCGCGGGUGCUGUAACAUGAAUCAAAGACCUGCUGUUCCAAAUUAAUGUUUCAAUAUAAACAACAAAGGCAUUGUAAUAACCCAAUUUGUCCGAGCCUGAAUUACAAACACACAAAAGGCCCAAACAAAAUCAGAUAAAUAAAACCAAAAAUAAAUAAUAAAAUCCAUUGAAGUCCAGUCCAUUUAUAACCAAUGCCAAACCCAAUUUACAAAUACAAGCCCAGGUACAAAGGACUAGCCCAACAGAAUUACACGACCCAACAGGCCCAAAACUUUAAAAAAUUUUCAGAAAGCCAGAAACCCUAGGGUUUCUGGCACAGUUUCUCCUCGGCCACAUCACCCACGCCUCAUCCUGAGGUCCCUCGCCCCGAGGCUUGUCUGCAACCUUGCACCAAGAUGGAAAAAUCCUUCAUCCGCCUCUGUCAACACCUGCAAACGAGCAAAAAAAGGGAAAGCAGAAACAAAGCAAAAUAAACAGCAGAAAAUAGUAGCAAACCUUUUGUAUUCGGCUAUAAAGCCACCGAAAAAACGAUUGUAAACACACAGACAAUUAAUAAAAAACAGAACUCAGUUAAAAAAGAGGUGAUUUUUUCUUCUAAGUAUUCUAGUUUAUUUUAUUGUAUUUUUAUUUUGUAAAUAAUAAACGAAAACAUCAAGAGAGGGGUUCGAAAUUACCUAACGUCUUACGUCCAGUCGCUAUAGGCGGCCAAAGUUUCUCGUUUCCGAUGAAAAACAAUGUAUUUAGCCUCGGGAAGUCGAAAAAACAAAAAAAUAGACCUUUUUGUUUUUCGGCCACCGAGGACGGCGGCACCAUCGUCGGUGACCAACAGUCGCCACGGUGGCCGAUGAUCAGAACCGGGGCCGGAAAGGGAGAGAGAACAGAGAAAAGAGAUGUUAUUUUUAUUUUAUUUUUGAAGAACUGUGGCUGAAAUGAGGGUGUGAAAGAUUUUUUUGGUAUUUAUAUAGGCUCUAUACGACGUCGUUUUCCCCCUAGGAUCCGCGUGUCGACCCGACCCGUUCAGAGGAUCCGCAGUUUUGGGGCGAAUGGGCUAUUUGCUACUUUAGUCCUUCCGCAUUUUUAUAUUUUUCAAUCUAGUCUUGUAUAUGUUUUAUGUAUUUAUAAUUUUUCCACAUAAGUUUACUCUCUUUUCAUUUUGACCCUUUAUGAAAUGGUGCGUUUUGGAGGACGGGGAAUAUUUCCCCAUUUGGCCCCUCCAUUUUAUUUGCGCUUUUCAAUGCGGUCCCCUAUUUUAUUUUAUUUCGAUUUACGCCCUUAAAUUCCAUUUAAGUUUCAAUUUAGUCCCUUUUUAUGUUUAUUCAUCUAUUUUAUUAUAAUUUAGACUCUAAUUUUAUUUAAAUCUCAACUUAAUCCUUUAUUCACUUUAUCUUUUAUAUAUGCAUCUAGAUCUGUUUAUUUAUUUAUUUAUUUAUUUUUACAUUCAUGCAUUCAUUUAAAUUUUUUUUUUACUCUUCUUGUACUUAGAAUUUAUAUGAUUCUUUAUUCCUUUAUUUACACAUAUUAUUAUUAUUAUUAUUAUUAUUAUUAUUAUCAUCAUCAUCAUCAUCAUCAUCAUCAUCAUCAUCAUCAUCAUUAUUGACCAUUCAUAUAUUUUAUUUACAAAAUGUACCCUUAAUUCUAUUUAUAUUUUAAUUUAGUCCUUUAUCUUCAAUAUUUUAUAAAUUAUUUUCCCCAAUCAUUUUGCGAUUUAUAAUUUGUUUUUUAUUUUAUUUUUUUAAUUCUUUAUUUUUUUAUUUUCAACUUUUCAUUAAUUUUUUUUGUGUUGUCAUUUAAUUAGUCAUUUAUAUAUUUACUAUUGCUAUCUCAACUUCUCAUACUUUUUAUUUCGCUAUUAUUUACUCAUUAUUUAUGCAUUUAUUAUCUUUUUUUUAUUUUAAGGUUUAUAUUAUUCAUAUUUACACAUUCCUUAUUCAUUAUUUGUACAUAUUUCAUUCCUUAUUUAUUUAUAUUUUUAUGUGUUACUUACAUUUAUCAUUAUUACUUAGUAUCUUUCACUUCUAUUUUUUUAUAUUUUAAAUUUACUCAUUUAUUUUAUUAUGGUGCGAUUAUUAAUACAAACCAAAAUUAUAUUAUUAUGGUUUUUUAAUCUAUUUAUAGUAUUCUUAUGUCAAACAUUAGGUUUUAAAAUCAUCCAUUUGUACAUUAAGUCUGAAUAAACUAAAUACAUAUAAUUUAAAUACUACGUUCGAUGUUAUUCAAAAGAGGGAAGGUUUUCAAAGUAAGGCAAUAUUCUGUGUUUGGGGACUCGAGAAAGUCAUACCCUAACUUACGGGGUUUCGAUUUUUUUCGUUGGAUCUAAAUAACUAAAUAUCCUUUUAAAAUUGAAAUACGUGAAAGUUCAAAAAUAAAAAAGACAAGGCAAACUUAUUCUCAAAAAUUUGAAGUGUCAUGUCCUAACUUACGGGACGUGAAGUUUUGUUGCCUCAAGAUAAGAAGGUCUUCCAUAUUUUUCGACUUAUUCAAGCAAAUUUUUAAGUAAAAAUAACAUAAUACAAAAAAGGAUCGUAUUUUUAAAUUAUUUUCAAAAUUUCAACUUUCGACAUUAAGACAUUAAUUAAUCGAUGAGGUACCAAUUUUGGGCAUUACGAGGGUGCUAAUCUUUCCUCGUACGUAAUCGACUCUCGAACCCAUUUUUCUAAAUUUCGUAGACCAAAAAUUAUUGUUUUAGUAAAUCAAACCCUUUAUUAAAACAAGAAAAUUACGAGGCGAUUGAUCACACUUUACAAAAAUUAUUGGUGGCGCCUCCCAAUUUUUGUUUUUCAAAAUAAAAAGUCGACCUUUUCAAAACAUACCUGCAAGUGGUUCCAUCCGAGCUAGAGAUCAUAAAGCAAGAUUUUGAAAAGAGUAAUUCGGAGUUAGGAAAGAGGAUAGAACAAUUGGAGGAGGAAAAAAUGCAUUUGAGAUUAGAUGUUGACGUUCAGAAGCUAGAGGCCGAGAAAUUGAGAAAGGGAAAGAAUAAGGCCGAAGAAGAUUUGGAUAGCUUGAAAACGGAUUAUAAGAAGUUGCGUUUAUCACUGAGAAUCGCCGGAUUGGGAAAAACGUCAGAACAAUGACGGAAAGAGAUUCAAGAAGAAAAGAUUAAAGUCAAUCGAUGGGAGAGAAAAUUCCAAGAUGCUCAGGUUCGAAAAGUGGUCUCAGAAAAGAGUUUGUCAGAAAGUCGAAGUGAAAAAAUCGAAUUAAAGGCUAGAGUAGCAGAACUAGAAAAGUCGUUUAAUCAGUAUCGUAGUCGCAACUCUACAAUCGAGCUGAAGGUGAGCUUAAACAAGAUUGAAGAGCUGAAAAGGAAGAUAGAAGAACUCCAGACUAUGUUACAAAACUGCGAAAUUCGAGUUGAACUUCUUGAAACAAAUGAUGAGCAUUGGAAAGAGCAUCCCCACUGUUCUCAGGAUCAAGUUAGGGACAAAUUAUAUUAUGGGUGAAGCUGUGGCUUAGAUACGAAAGGUGACCGAUCAUUUACAGACCCUAGCAGUUCAGGUUGACGUGCUAAGUGUGAAAUAUGAAUUAGAAUCAGACCGGGGCCGAGAGCUAGCUUGGCUUUUUAGGAAAGUUAAAGCUUUGAGCAUUAGGGCAAAGUCAUAUAUGGAAUCCGUUUUAUGUAAAGAAAUUUGUUUUCUAGUAAAGUUGUUCUAACAUAAUUGAAUUAAAAUCAAUGCCUCUUUUUGUAUUCAUUUCAUGUAUUUGCAUUACGUUGCAUCAUAUGCAUUAAAUUUCACGAAAAGACCCUAAUUAUAAAAAAUUAUUUCAGUUAAUCUGGAAAUCAACAAGAGUCAACCAACCGAAUAUCGUUAUAGUAUUCAUUCCAAAACCAAAGAAAUAGACCAAAGAUUGGAACAGUUUCAAAAAGAGAUGCAAGACCAGUUGCAAAAGCAACUGCAAGAACAAUUAGUAAAAGUAAAACAGGAGAUGAGGGAUCAGAUACUGGAAUCCCAAAGAAACAUGAUGAGCCAAUUGGCGCAGUUACUGACUGGAGAACGUGAAAAAGGGAAGAGCACAGUGAUCAACUGAGGGGAUGAUAAUAAGGAUCCUAUUUAUCCCCCGAUUUUUACCCUGAUAAACGCCCAGGCACAACUAGAGGUGUACACACGAAGGGUACUUGUUACAAUCAAACCCCAACAGUAUCAAACCGGUACCUCAGUACUGAUAAACUACCAAAUAGGCUCAGGUUCCAAUUCGAGGGAUAACCCAACCAAUCCCAUCGUUCUUGAUGUAGAUGAUAUGGCAGAAAUGGAAAAAACAAGAGUCGAACUACCAAAGCAACUUAAGAAUCGAUGCAGAUGGCUAGAAGAAAAAUUCAGAGUAAUGGAAAACGCUGAUUAUCAUUACGAAAUUGAUGCCAAGGAUCUGAUUUUGGUCCUAGAUUUAUUGUUCCCCCUGAAGUUCAAAACUCCAGAGUUUGAAAAAUAUAAUGGGACUAGUUGUCCGGAAGCUCACAUCACCAUGUUUUGUCGAAGGAUGACAAGACACGUUUUUAAUGAUCAACUGUUAAUCCACUACUGUCAAGACAGUUUGAUCGGGUUAGCAGCUAAAUAAUAUAACCAAUUGAGUUGUACCAAAAUCAAUUUGUGGAAAGACCUAGCACAAACUUUUAUGAAGUAAUAUAGUCAAGUGACGGACAUGACACUUGGAAGAAUCACGUUACAGAAUAUGGAGAAGAAGUAAAAUGAGAGCUUCAAGCAAUAUGCCCAAAGGUAGAGAAGGUGGCAAUGCAAGUCCAGCCACCUCUUCUGGAGAAAGAAACCAUAAUGCUUUUCAUCAAUAGUUUAAAAGCCCCGUUUAUCAAUCAUAUGUUGAGAAGCGCUACUAAGAGCUUCUCGGAUAUAUUGAUGUCCGGUGAAAUGAUCGAAAACGCGGUGAGAAGUGAUAAGAUAGACGCGGGGGAAAACUCUAAAAGAUCAACCCCGAGAAAGAAAGAAAAUGAGGUGAAUAAUGUAAGCACAUAUAACAAAGGUUAUUCGAAACCAAUUAUCAUUGGCCUGCCAAGGACAGUAACCACUAACUAUCAGGGCCCUCCAAGGCAAUAUUUCAAUACUUACGUCCAUCUCAAUGACAUAUAGGAAAUUGUACCAAAGUCUAUUCGGUGUACAUAUGGUAUCCUCAUUCUACCUGAUACCCAUGCAACCUCCAUUCUCUAAAUGGUAUGAUGCAAAUGCUCAAUGUGAGUACCAUACGGGAAUAACGGGGCACUCGAUCGAGAAUUGCACUGCGUUUAAAAAGUUGAUCGAAAGAUUCAUUAAGAUAAGGAUCGUAAAGUUCACCGACUUAUCAGGACCUAACUUAACAGGAAAUUCGUUACCCAAUCAUUCUGAUAAAGUGGUAAAUGCGAUAAUCGAGAGUGGGGGUAAAAGAAUCAAUGUUGACAUGGCAGAAGUGAAAACCCCCACUAAAAUGGGUUUGGAAAUAAAUGAUAGAUGGAGGUUUAAUCAUACAAGACUUAGAGAAAAGGCCUAGAGGAGUAAGAAAAUAUUGUGAGUUCCAUGCCAAUGAGGGCCAUGACAUCCAAGAAUGCACUAAGUUCAGGACCACAGUUCAAAAUCUGAUGGACAGUAAAGAGAUGGAAUUUUAUGAAGAGGUAAAGGGUUCAGAAGAAGGAGAGGUUUAUGCUUCAGAGGAAGGAUCAAUAGAAAUGGUCCAGAAAGUUAACCACCUGGUAAUGAUCAUUUCGCAACCAAGAAACAAUGAAGCAGGAAUACGAAUGGCACCGGGAGUUAUAAUCCAAAAACCUAUAUCCUUUCCCUACAAGGAUAGCAAAAGGGUUCCUUAGAAUUAUGACUGUAACGUGACAAUCCCGAGAGAGGAGAACCCGGUUAACGCUUCAGAGGAGGGUCAAAAUGUGAGUUUUUACACGCGUAGUGGGAAAUGCUACGAUCCAGUGAAUUCAAGAGCGAAACUCGUAAAAGGAAAGACCUUGGUGGUAGAACGAGAAAAAAAAGAUGGUUAGAGUUGAAUCACCUAUUAAUGAGCCGGUGACUAAAAAAGAGGCUAGAGAAUUCUUGAAAUUCUUAAAGUACGCGAGUAUAGCGUUGUGGAGCAACUACACAAACAACCAGUUCGCAUAUCAGUGCUAGCUUUACUCUUGAGCUCGGUGACUCAUUGUAGCACAUUGAUAAAAGUGUUAAAUAAAAUCUAUGUGGCUGAUGAUAUCUCUGUGAACAAGCUGGACCAUCUUUUCAAUAAUACAUGCACCGAUAGUUUUAUAUUUUUCAAUGACGAUGAAAUAUUGCCAAGCAGAAUGAGUUCCACAAAGGCUCUACAUAUCACCAUCCGCUGUAAGGGAUAUUCAUUGCUGGAAGUAUUGAUUGAUAAUGGAUUUGCACUGAAUGUCCUGCCUCUAUCCAUACUAAAUAGACUGCCAGUGGAUAGUUCCCAUAUGAAGACAUGCCAAAAUAUAGUGAGGGCAUGAAAUGGGGAGGAUUGAAAUACCCUUUUUGAUCAGUCCAAGCACGUACGAGGUAGAUUUCUUGGUGAUGGAUAUCAAGCCUUCUUACAAUUACUUACUAGGAGGCCAUGGAUUCACUCAGCAGGGGCAAUGCCGUCAUCAUUGUAUCAAAAGCUAAAAUUGGUAACUGAAGGUCGGCUAGUAACCAUAAACACGGAAGAUGACAUCAUCGCAUCAGUUACUAGCGACGCGCUAUACAUAGGGGCAGACGAUGAAGCGAUAGAAUGAUCCUUUCGAUAGCUGGAAUUUGUGAACGCAACCUUCAUUGUCGAAGGGAACAAGAUCUUAGUGCCCAAAAUAUCCAAAACUAUAAGGAUUGACCUACAACUAACGAUUGGGAAAUGAGCCUUGCUUGGAAGAAGACUUGGAAAACACAUACAAGGAAGGGUCGAGACAUGCAUGCUCAUAGACAAACGAGAUCACUUUGGCUUAGGAUACAAACCAGAUGCGAGGCAAAAGAAGAGAGAACUAGAGAAAAGAUAAGAAAGGAGGAGAGCGUGAUUGAGCGAGAAAGAAGUCAAGUGGGAACCGAUGACCUUUCCCCAUAUAUCCAGGACUUUCGUGUCAGGAGAAAUUAUUCACCCUGAGCGGAAGAUGUCAAGAAAGAAGACCACUAAAGAAAUGUUGGGAAAUUUGAACAUCAACGCCAUAUCCAAAGAAAGAAUUGGGAGAUAAAAUUUAUCAGGCAUCUGCCCCUAUGUACCUAGAAGUAUUCUGAACAACUAGACUACAGAAGAGAUUCCUAUAGUUUUUAGAGCCAAUUCAGAGUAAUGUUCAGAACACACGCUUAUUACUCUAAACCUAGGAGUAAUAAAAAUCAUUUUGUGAAAUAGGCUUAUGUUUAACAUCAUUAUUUCAAUAAAAAUACAUUUUUGCGUAUCAUCUUGAGCAAAUAUUAUUUUAUUCUUUCUAUACCAUACAGAUAAUCAUUCUUAGAUUCUUUAUUUUUUGUAUCUUCCUCCAUCGCUAUAACAGGUCUCCAAAUAUCAAUGAUAUGAACGACGUUGCUACUGACUCAGAAUCUCCUUUUGAGAAAGAGAUGUGUACAGAGGAUUCUUAAGAUUCUGAAGAUGAUCGAGACUGUAACCUAUCUCUUGAUUUUUUGAGGAUGGUAGAAUAAGAUGAGAAACAAAUCCUGCCUCACAAGGAGUUAGUGGAAAUUGUGAGCUUAGUAGAGGAAAAAAAUGUGAAGAUUUGAGCUUGCAUUACCGUAGAGACGAAACGAGACCUCAUUGAGUUACUCUAAGAAUUCAAAGAUGUCUUCGCAUGGUCAUAUCAAGACAUGCCCGAGUUAAAUACUGAUAUCGUAUAGACCGACUCCCUAUAAAGGAAGAAUGCAAGCCAGUUCAACAGAAGUUCUGGAGGAUGAAGCCCGACAUUUUGUUGAAAAUAAAGGAGGAGGUCAAGAAGCAAUUCGAUGCUGGCUUUUUAAAAGUGGUUAAAUACUUAGAAUGGGUAGCCAAUAUCAUCCCUGUCCCUAAAAAAGAUGGGAAAAUAUGAAUGUGAGUAGACUAUAGGGACUUUGAUUAAAGCCAGCCUGAAAGAUAAUUUCCCAUUGCCUCAUAUCGAUACCUUAGUGGACAACACGACAGGUUACUCACUGUUCUCCUUAAUGGAUGGCUUUUUGGGAUAUAACCAGAUAAAGAUUUAUACUGAAGACAUGGAAAAAACCACAUUCGUAACCAUGUAGGGAACAUUUUGCUAUAAGGUUAUGCCAUUUGGAUUAAAAAUGCGGGAGCUACGUAUCAAAGAGCUAUGGUGACUUUGUUUCAUGACAUGAUACACAAAGAAAUCAAGGUUUAUGUUGAUGAUAUAAUCGCAAAGUCCUGAACAAAGAAAUAGCAUGUACAAGUAUCGAGGAAAUUGUUCUUGAGAUUGAGGAAAUUCCAGUUGAAGCUCAAUCCAGCAAAAUGUACUUUCGGGGCUAGGUCGGGAAAAUUACUAGGAUUUGUAGUCAGUAAAAAGGGGAUCGAGAUCGACCCAGAUAAAGUAAAGGCUAUACAGGAAUUACCUCCGCCGCGCACUUAAAAAGAAGUUUGAGGUUUCCUAGGGAGAUUAAAUUACACGCCCAGUUCAUUUCACAAUUAACUGAGAAAUGCGACCCCAUAUUUCGUCUCCUUAAGAAACACAAUCCUGGUGUUUGGGAUGAGAAGUGUUAGAAAACUUUCGACAAGGUCAAACAUUACCUAUCUAAUGCCCCAAUAUGGAUGCUUCCUAACCCAUAUCGGCCAUUAAUAUUGUACUUAGCAGUAUUUAAGAAUUCAACGGGAUGCGUGCUUGGGUAACAUCAUGAAUCAAGGAGAAAAGAAAAAGCGAUAUACUAUCUCAGUAAAAAAUUCACUGAAUGUGAGACAAGAUAUUCGCUAAUUGAGAAGUAGUGUUGUGCCUUGAUCUAGGCAACUCGAAGGUUGAAAUAGUAUAUGUUGUACUAUAUAACUUGGCUCAUCUCAAAACCAGAUCCGCUAAACUACAUGAUGGAGUCAACUGCUUUGAAUGGAAGAAUGACCUAGUGGUAAAUCCUGCUUUCUGAAUCUAACAUAAGGUAUGCGAAUCAAAAGGCUAUAAAAGGAAGCGCAAUAGUAGAUUUUCUGGCCAGUAUUGUAACACCCCGUACCCGAGACCGUUGCCGGAGUCAGACACGAGGGGUUCACAGACUAAAUUCGCUUACUAUCGCAGUCUAUUUUAAAAAUUUCCAGACAGCUGGCUAACUGUGUCGCUGUCACCUUAAAAAUCAUAUCUUGAGUUUCACAACUCGAAAAUCAGUUUCGUGAUUUUUCCCUGAAACUAGACUCAUAUUUCCAUAUACAUAUUUUUUUCUAGAAUUUUUGGUCAGGCCAAUUAGUACAGUUUAUUAGUUAAAGUCUCCCCUGUUACAGGGUGCGACUACACUGACCUUCAUGCAUUAAAAUUCGGAUAUCUCCCUGUACAGGGCUUCAAUACUGAUUUCGUUUGUUUCUAUAGAAACUAGACUCAGAGAGGAAUCUAUAAAUAUAUGGCAUGACUCCUAAUUAUAUCUGGUUAAUUUAUAAUGAAUUUCCAAAGUCGGAAUAGGGAAUCCAGAAACUGUUCUGGCCCUGUCUCACGAAAACCUAAUUAUCUCUUAACAUACCACUCAUAUGACCGUUUCGUUUCUUCCAUAUGAAAGUGGAUUCAUCAAGGUUAAUUUAAAUAAUUUAUUCACUAUUUAAUUCUAUUCCUAAUAUUUUUAGUGAUUUUCCAAAUCUACAUCACUGCUGCUGUCAGCAUCUGCCUUUAAGGUAGACUUUACCUAUUUCAUAGUUUCCAUGAUUAAACUAGCCCUUUUAGCAUAAAUAGCACAAAUUAUGAUAGUGAUUAACCAUUCCCAUGGCCAAUCCUUGUUAAGCAUAUCCACACCUCUCAAUAACCAUAUCCAUACCAAAUGAUUAUAACAUUAUGCUCAAACAUAUAUAAGCCAUUUUCGCAUGGCUAUCCAAAAUUAUACAAAUCCAAAGGGUCCAUGACCAACUACAAAAAGGGUAGUCCUAUACAUGCCAUUUUCAGAGUUCAACCAAAAGUGUACCAAAAGGGCUUUGAUAGUGUGGGCGACUUCGACUUCAAUAAUCCCGAGUCCGAUAGCUGACGAACCAAAAUCUAUAAAACAAAGAUUCAAAGAACGGAGUAAGCAUUUAAUGCUUAGUAAGUUUUAAGCAAGACAAAGUGUUCUCAAUCACUAUUAUUGGUCAUUCAUUUCAACUGUUCGAUGAAGUUAAUCUAGAGCUUCAUCUCGAUCUAUAAUAUCAUUAAACGCAACACUUGGCUGCCACAUAUAUACUUUCGAAUAAUAAUGACCUAGAUGGUCAAAUAUUUCCAAAGCACAUUCUCACAUUUGGAGUUAUAAUAUUAAUCACAUUUACCUACCUCUUUGAUACUGAUAAUUCACCUCGAAAUCACUCCACCGAUGAGUAAGUAAUACGUACCUGAACAUCUUGAAUACAUAAUACUUAUUUGAUGGUAACUUAAUGCAGAUACUCAAUAUCAAAGUCUUACUUGAAUCCUAGCAUUUAGCCGUCGGGUCUUUAAAGCUCAGAUAUAGUACGAGCACGAAGCCUACGGACAUUAAUCAGGAUAAUAUUCUCGCAUAAAGCCUGCGGGAUUUUAACCCGGAUAUAGUACUGACACAAUUGCCCUUCGGGACUUAUCACAUUUAUACACUUUCACAUCCAUCACGUUGGCCACUCGGCCCUGUCACAUAUAUACACUUUCACAUUCAUCACAUCGGCCAUUAGGCCUUAUCACAUAUAUACACUUUCACAUUCAUCACAUCGGCUAUUAGGCCUUAUCACAUAUAUACACUUUCACAUUCAUCACAUUGGCUAUUAGGCCUUAUCACAUAUAUACACUUUCACAUUCAUCACAUCGGCCAUUAGGCCUUAUCACAUAUAUAUACACUUUCACAUCACUUUCACAUUCAUCACAUUGGCCAUUCGGCCUUAUCACAUAUAUACACUUUCACAUUCAUCACAUUGGCCAUUAGGCCUUAUCACAUAUAUACACUUUCACAUUCAUCACAUUGGCCUUUCGGCCUUAUCACAUAUAUACACUUUCACAUUCAUCACAUCGGCCAUUCGGCCUUAUCACAUAUAUAUACACUUUCACAUUCAUCACAUUGGCCAUUAGGCCUUAUCACAUAUAUAUACACUUUCACAUUUAUUCAAAUAUACUUCACAUACCACAUAUACUAUCAUGUACAGUCUUGGUCUUGGCCGAAUCUACAUCCAUCACUUUCCAAUGAAUAAUUCAAUUUUACGCCAUACUAUCAUUUCAUGUUCGAAUACUCAUAAGCUUACAAUAUCACGAUUUAGAAUUCAAGUAUGGGUUUAAUCAAUAGCUUAUGAGCAACUAAAACAAGUUUUAUCCAUGUUUACAACAAAAUCACAUAUUCACUACGAGCUGUUUUCCUGAGCAAUGGUCACUAAAUUAUUUAUAACCGGAGCUACAAAACUCCAAAUCACUUGCCGUUAAUUUUUCCUGAAUAUAGACUCGUAUAUCUUCCAUCCAUAAAAUUUCCAGAAUUUUAGGUUUGGCCAAUCAAUACCAGAUUUUUCUUAAAGUUUCCCCUGUUUCACUAUUUGACUAAUCUGACCACUCUUCACUACGAAUCAAAUUUCUCAUUUUACAGAAUUCAAAAUGUGUUGUAUUUGAUUUCAUUUGAAACUAGACUCAUUAAGGAGUCUAAGCAUAUAAAUUUUAUCUUAUAACCAUUUUUGUACAAUUUAUAAUGAUUUUCUAAAAACAGAACAGGGGAUUUCGGAGUCAUUCUGACACCGUCUCACACAACUUUAAAUAUCUCUUUAUAGGAAAUUUGUUUGCUCACAAGGUCUCUUUUAUAACAAGCUAGACUAAUUAAGCCUUGAUUACAUAUUUUAUUCAGCCUAUAAUUCCACACCAACAAUUUAUAGUGAUUUUCUAAAAUCACGUUACUGCUGCUGUCCAAAGCAAAUUAUUACAAUUUGCUCUUAACUUUCCAAGUCCGAACACAUAUGAACUUACCAUUUGAGUUUAAGACAUAUCAUGGCCACAUCAUAUCUUAUUAAAUCAACUCAUUAUGUCCUAUUAUGAUUGAAUUUACUCAACGUUUAAUCACUUAAAACUUACCUCGGAAGUGGUCGACGACUAGAUAUCCACGGCUAUUCGUUUACUUUCUCUUUAUCCAAAAUUGCCCCUCUAUGCUCUUGAGCUUAAUUAACAAAAUUUAAACUAUUUUAAUCACCUUGUUAUAUCAUUAAAAACAACAAGGUAAAUCUUCUCAAUGAAACUCAUACAUAAGGCAACACCUCGAUACAUCUGCACACAUUCGGUAUUUCAUAAAAACCAUCCCAAAUACAUUUACCUAGGUAUUACCAUGUCGCCUUAUAUACAUAUACUAGUUAUGUGGUCAAUUUUUCCGAUGACCUAUGCAUAUAACUAAUUACACCUUUAAUAAUAUUCACAAAGCCGAUUAUCCACAUGACUACCUUAGCAUAUUAUUAGUUAGCUUCUUAUCCAAAUUUGCCAUAAAGAAAAUUAACUCAUAUCCCCUCAAGUGCAUAAGCAAUUGCAUCCAAAGGACACUUUAAAUGCAUGUUAUGAAGGUAACCGAAUGCACAUAUAUUUAUACCAAGGCAUCAUAUACUUCAAACCAACUAUCAAGGCAUAAAGCCGAACCUUCAAAAUCAAUUAUCAAUACACGUUCAAACAUGCCCUCAUACAAAUAUACAAGUUCUCCCUUGGUUAAACUAAAUCAUGCUUUAAGGUUUAAUGUUCAUCUUUAACACAAUUACCACACUUCAAACUAAAUUUUCAGCUUCAUAUAUCCCACACCAGAUUUUUUUUUUCCAUGCUCAAUUUCCAUGGCCGAAUGAAAUUAUGCCCUAAUUCAUGAACUUAAACAACAUUGGCCAACUUUCCAAGCUCAUUUCAGCCAUCAAGCACAUUUAGUUUGUUCAUACUCAACUAGAAUCAAUUAUCCUCCCAAAAUCAUCAAACAUACAAAAUAUACCCCAUUAAGCUCAUGACCGAUUGCUACAUGCUUCAUGAACACAAAAAUUUUCACAUGGGUCUUGUUGCAAGCUUCAAAACCAACCAAAAUUCACAACUUUUCAAAGACAAUAACAUGAACCUUACCUUAUUUGAAGCCUUCUUUUGCCGAAUGCCCUAAGCUCAAAGGUUUCUAUUUUCUUUCUCAACUCACGGCAAGAAGAAGAAGAAAAUGGCCUUGUUAUUUUCACCUCAAACAUGUUUUUUCAUUUAUUUCAUUAACUUUUAUUAUAUUCUUUCUCCCAUAACACACUAACACAACAUGUUUCCAACAUGUUUCACCCCAUAACAUUUUGUCCACUCUCAUGCUCAUGGCCGGCCACUACUAAUUAGGGGGGAAAUUGACAUGCAAGUCCACCCUUUUUAUUUCAUGCACUAAUAGAUCCUUAUGUUUUGACCUAUCACAUUUCAAAAGUGUCACACAUAAGUCCUAUUGACUAAAUUCACAUGCAAUUUACUAAAUCAGAGCUUAAAACUUUCACACAUUCGUAUUCACAUAUAAUAGUCAUAAAAUAUGACGGCUAAUUAUUUUUAUGACUCAAUUUUGUGGUCCCGAAACCACUUUUCGACUAGGGUCAAAUUAGGGGUGUCACAACUCUCCCCCCUUUAGGGAUUUUCGUCCCCGAAAAUUUCUACCGAUGCAUAGUUUAGGAUAACGUCCUCUUAUUGAAUUAUAUUCAUAUAAACAUUAGCUCAUCGAUAGCAAUUGUAAUUCAUUAAUGAUUUCACAUCGAUCUAUAAAAUCAUUUUCUUAUCUUAAAACAAAUACAUAAACAUUUCUACAAGUAUGCACAUAUAUCUCAUUUUCUUGAUUUCAUAAGCAAUAAUCACUUAAUUUAAUUCACAAAUGCAUUUCAAACACAUAUUAAGCACAUAUUAACAUGUAUAAUUCACAUCAUCAACCCACAUAUUUGUAACCCACAUUUUCAUUCAUGUAUAAGCUGUAACCUGACCGAAAGUACACAUAUACUCAAACAUCCCAAUAAAUAUCCUUUAUAACUCCAUCAUAUCUCACUAUUCAACUUAACCUAUUUCCAACAGAAAAUAAACUUCCACAUACCUGAACAUUUAAUUCAUUUAGCACAUUUAAUCACUGUUAACGAUACCCGUUGAAUCAUUCGAAAUCAUUACGGAUACUCAUUAAGCACAUAUAGCUCUUACAAUGCCAUAUCCUAGAUAAGGUCUUACAUAUGCUCACAUAUCGAGCCGAUGCCAUGUCCCAGACAUGGUCUUACACACUAUCUCAAAUCAAUGCCUUCGUCCCAGACGAGGUCUUACAUGAAUUCCACUUCACACACUUAGUGCCCACUGACCGAUCUCGCACUCAUAGUGCUCGAUUAAAGGAAUUCGCACACACACAGUGCCUCUAAUCAUUCACACACAUAGUGCUCUUAUUCAUUCGUUAUUACACAUUGAAAUGACUUAACCAAUUCUAUAAACAUCAUGUAUGUACACUUUUAAACAUAUCAUCUCAUUUAAAUUUGAAUUCGUAUAGUAAUGAAUACUUAAACUUUGCUCAAAUUACCGGCACGAAGCCUACUAGGCAUGAAGGCCCGAAUACACGUCACCAGCAUGAUUGCUCUUCGGGACCUAGCCCGGAUAUAACACCAGCACGAAUGUUCUUCGGGGUUUAGCACGGAUAUAUCACUAGCACGAAUGCUCUUCGGAACUUAGCCCGGAUACAUCACUAGCAUGAAUGCUCUUCGGGACUUAGCCCGGAUACAUCACUAGCACGAAUGCUCUUCGGAACUUAGCCCGGAUACAUCACUAGCACGAAUGCUCUUCGAAACUUAGCCCGGAUACAUCACUAGCAUGAAUGCUCUUCGGAACUUAGCUCGGAUACAUCACUAUCAUGAAUGCUCUUCGGGACUUAGCCCGGAUCAUCGUCGAGACCUUUAGCUCGGAUGAAAUCUCCACACAAAGCCAACGAAUUUUAAUCCGGACAUAAUCUCUGUACAUAGCCAUCGGGUCUUUACCCGGACAUAAUCUCUUUAUAUAGUCAGCGGGUCUUUAAACUCGGAUUCACAUCACUGAGUCUCAUACAUAUUUAUUCACAUGUUAUCAUGUUUCACAUGGCACAAAUCACAUUUACAAUUUAAUCAAUUCAUUCACAUGUAAACAUAUAACAUGAUUCUUGACUUUAAGUCGUAAAUAUCAUUCAAAUCUAAUACAUGUAUGCUUCUUUUACUAAACUUUCAGCUCAAUAAGCAAUCACACAAAAGCAUAUAUCCCCAAUCUCUUCCUUUGUUCAUUUCUCUAAUAACCUUAUUAUGAUAAGGACAAUGGGACAUCAUUCAUCUAUCAUACAUGUAUAUCAUGGCAUUUUAAGUUACAUACCAAAUUCAAUUACUCAAAACUUACUUAUGUUAUACCCUUCUCAAUAUUGACACAUCAUAAGCAUGUCUCAGUCCUCUCAAUACUAUCUGCUACAGCUCGAUCGGGAUCGGAAUUCAUUACAAUAAAUAAACACAUUUUCAAUUGUCAGAAAUCACCACACUAUCAAAUAAUCACAUAAUGGCAUGUAUAGCUAGACCCAAACGUAUUACGGUAGUCCUAAAAUCGACUAAACCGUAGCUCUGAUACCAAUAAAAUUGUAACACCCCGUACCCGAGACCGUUGCCGGAGUCGGACACGAGGGGUUCACAGACUAAAUUCGCUUACUAUCGCAGUCCAUUUUAAAAAUUUCCAGACAGCUGGCUAACUGUGUCACUGUCACCUUAAAAAUCAUAUCUUGAGUUUCACAACUCGAAAAUCAAUUUCGUGAUUUUUCUCUGAAACUAGACUCAUAUGUCCAUCUACAUAUUUUUUUCUAGAAUUUUUGGUCAGGCCAAUUAGUACAGUUUAUUAGUUAAAGUCUUCCCUGUUACAGGGUGCGACUACACUGACCUUCAUGCAUUACAAUUCGGAUAUCUCCCUGUACAGGGCUUCAAUACUGAUGCCGUUUGUUUCUAUAGAAACUAGACUCAGAGAGGAAUCUAUACAUAUAUGGCAUGACUCCUAAUUAUCUUUGGUUAAUUUAUAAUGAAUUUCCAAAGUCGGAACAGGGAAUCCAGAAACCGUUCUGGCCCUGUCUCACGAAAACCUAAUUAUCUCUUAACAUACCACUCAUAUGACCGUUUCGUUGCUUCCAUAUGAAAUUGGAUUCAUCAAGGUUAAUUUAAAUAAUUUAUUCACUAUUUAAUUCUAUUCCUACUAUUUUUAGUGAUUUUCCAAAUCUACAUCACUGCUGCUGUCAGCAUCUGCCUUUAAGGUAGACUUUACCUAUUUCAUAGUUUCCAUGAUUCAACUAGCCCUUUUAGCAUAAAUAGCACAAAUUAUGAUAGUGAUUAACCAUUCCCAUGGCCAAUCCUUGUUAAGCAUAUCCACACCUCUCAAUAACCAUAUCCAUACCAAAUGAUUAUAACAUUAUGCUCAAACAUAUAUAAGCCAUUUUCGCAUGGCUAUCCAAAAUUAUACAAAUCCAAAGGGUCCAUGACCCACUACAAAAAGGGUAGUCCUAUACAUGCCAUUUUCAGAGUUCAACCAAAAGUGUACCAAAAGGGCUUUGAUAGUGUGGGCGACUUCGACUUCAAUAAUCCCGAGUCUGAUAGCUGACGAACCAAAAUCUAUAAAACAAAGAUUCAAAGAACGGAGUAAGCAUUUAAUGCUUAGUAAGUUUUAAGCAAGACAAAGUGUUCUCAAUCACUAUUAUUGGUCAUUCAUUUCAACUGUUCGAUGAAGUUAAUCUAGAGCUUCAUCUCGAUCUAUAAUAUCAUUAAACUCAACACUUGGCUGCCACAUAUAUACUUUCGAAUAAUAAUGACCUAGAUGGUCAAAUAUUUCCAAAGCACAUUCUCACAUUUGGAGUUAUAAUAUUAAUCACAUUUACCUACCUCUUUGAUACUGAUAAUUCACCUCGAAAUCACUCCAGCGAUGAGUAAGUAAUACGUACCUGAACAUCUUGAAUACAUAAUACUUAUUUGAUGGUAACUUAAUGCAAAUACUCAAUAUCAAAGUCUUACUUGAAUCCUAGCAUUUAGCUGUCGGGUCUUUAAAGCUCAGAUAUAGUACGAGCACGAAGCCUACGGACAUUAAUCAGGAUAAUAUUCUCGCAUAAAACCUGCGGGGUUUUAACCCGUAUAUAGUACUGACACAAUUGCCCUUCGGGACUUAUCACAUUUAUACACUUUCACAUCCAUCACGUUGGCCACUCGGCCCUGUCACAUAUAUACACUUUCACAUUCAUCACAUCGGCCAUUAGGCCUUAUCACAUAUAUACACUUUCACAUUCAUCACAUCGGCCAUUAGGCCUUAUCACAUAUAUAUACACUUUCACAUUCAUCACAUUGGCCAUUCGGCCUUAUCACAUAUAUAUACACUUUCACAUUCAUCACAUUGGCCAUUAGGCCUUAUCACAUAUAUACACUUUCACAUUCAUCACAUCGGCCAUUCGGCCUUAUCACAUAUAUAUACACUUUCACAUUCAUCACAUUGGCCAUUCGGCCUUAUCACAUAUAUAUACACUUUCACAUCCAUCACGUUGGCCUUUCGGCCUUAUCACAUAUAUACACUUUCACAUUCAUCACAUCGGCCAUUCGGCCUUAUCACAUAUAUAUACACUUUCACAUUCAUCACAUAUAUAUACACUUUCACAUUCAUCACAUUGGCCAUUAGGCCUUAUCACAUAUAUAUACACUUUCACAUUUAUUCAAAUAUACUUCACAUACCACAUAUACUAUCAUGUACAGUCUUGGUCUUGGCCGAAUCUACAUCCAUCACUUUCCAAUGAAUAAUUCAAUUUUACGCCAUACUAUCAUUUCAUGUUCGAAUACUCAUAAGCUUACAAUAUCACGAUUUAGAAUUCAAGUAUGGGUUUAAUCAAUAGCUUAUGAGCAACUAAAACAAGUUUUAUCCAUGUUUACAACAAAAUCACAUAUUCACUACGAGCUGUUUUCCUGAGCAAUGGUCACUAAAUUAUUUAUAACCGGAGCUACAAAACUCCAAAUCACUUACCGUUAAUUUUUCCUGAAUAUAGACUCGUAUAUCUUCCAUCCAUAAAAUUUCCAGAAUUUUAGGUUUGGCCAAUCAAUACCAGAUUUUUCUUAAAGUUUCCCCUGUUUCACUGUUUGACUAAUCUGACCACUCUUCACUACGAAUCAAAUUUAUCAUUUUACAGAAUUCAAAAUGUGUUUUAUUUGAUUUCAUUUGAAACUAGACUCAUUAAGGAGUCUAAGCAUAUAAAUUUUAUCUUAUAACCAUUUUUGUACAAUUUAUAAUGAUUUUCUAAAAACAGAACAGGGGAUUUCGGAGUCAUUCUGACACCGUCUCACACAACUUUAAAUAUCUCUUUAUAGGAAAUUUGUUUGCUCACAAGGUCUCUUUUAUAACAAACUAGACUAAUUAAGCCUUGAUUACAUAUUUUAUUCAGCCUAUAAUUCCGCAUCAACAAUUUAUAGUGAUUUUCUAAAAUCACGUUACUGCUGCUGUCCAAAGCAAAUUAUUACAAUUUGUUCUUAACUUUCCAAGUCCGAACACAUAUGAACUUACCAUUUGAGUUUAAGACAUAUCAUGGCCACAUCAUAUCUUAUUAAAUCAACUCAUUAUGUCCUAUUAUGAUUGAAUUUACUCAACGUUUAAUCACUUAAAACUUACCUCGGAAGUGGUCGACGACUAAAUAUCCACGGCUAUUCGUUUACUUUCUCUUUAUCCAAAAUUGCCCCUCUAUGCUCUUGAGCUUAAUUAACAAAAUUUAAACUAUUUUAAUCACCUUGUUAUAUCAUUAAAAACAACAAGGUAAAUCUUCUCAAUGAAACUCAUACAUAAGGCAACACCUCGAUACAUCUGCACACAUUCGGUAUUUCAUAAAAACCAUCCCAAAUACAUUUACCUAGGUAUCACCAUGUCGCCUUAUAUACAUAUACUAGUUAUGUGGUCAAUUUUUCCGAUGACCUAUGCAUAUAACUAAUUACACCUUUAAUAAUAUUCACAAAGCCGAUUAUCCACAUGACUACCUUAGCAUAUUAUUAGUUAGCUUCUUAUCCAAAUUUGCCAUAAAGAAAAUUAACUCAUAUCCCCUCAAGUGCAUAAGCAAUUGCAUCCAAAGGACACUUUAAAUGCAUGUUAUGAAGGUAACCGAAUGCACAUAUAUUUAUACCAAGGCAUCAUAUACUUCAAACCAACUAUCAAGGCAUAAAGCCGAACCUUCAAAAUCAAUUAUCAAUACACGUUCAAACAUGCCCUCAUACAAAUAUACAAGUUCUCCCUUGGUUAAACUAAAUCAUGCUUUAAGGUUUAAUGUUCAUCUUUAACACAAUUACCACACUUCAAACUAAAUUUUCAGCUUCAUAUAUCCCACACCAGAUUUUUUUUUCCAUGCUCAAUUUCCAUGGCCGAAUGAAAUUAUGCCCUAAUUCAUGAACUUAAACAACAUUGGCCAACUUUCCAAGCUCAUUUGAGCCAUCAAGCACAUUUAGUUUGUUCAUACUCAACUAGAAUCAAUUAUCCUCCCAAAAUCAUCAAACAUACAAAAUAUACCCCAUUAAGCUCAUGACCGAUUGCUACAUGCUUCAUGAACACAAAAAUUUUCACAUGGGUCUUGUUGCAAGCUUCAAAACCAACCAAAAUUCACAACUUUUCAAAGACAAUAACAUGAACCUUACCUUAGUUGAAGCCUUCUUUUGCUGAAUGCCCUAAGCUCAAAGGUUUCUAUUUUCUUUCUCAACUCACGGCAAGAAGAAGAAGAAAAUGGCCUUGUUAUUUUCACCUCAAACAUGUUUUUUCAUUUAUUUCAUUAACUUUUAUUAUAUUCUUUCUCCCAUAACACACUAACACAACAUGUUUCCAACAUGUUUCACCCCAUAACAUUUUGUCCACUCUCAUGCUCAUGGCCGGCCACUACUAAUUAGGGGGGAAAUUGACAUGCAAGUCCACCCUUUUUAUUUCAUGCACUAAUAGAUCCUUAUGUUUUGACCUAUCACAUUUCAAAAGUGUCACACAUAAGUCCUAUUGACUAAAUUCACAUGCAAUUUACUAAAUAAGAGCUUAAAACUUUCACACAUUCGUAUUCACAUAUAAUAGUCAUAAAAUAUGACGGCUAAUUAUUUUUAUGACUCGAUUUUGUGGUCCCGAAACCACUUUUCAACUAGGGUCAAAUUAGGGGUGUCACAAGUAUAGCUCUAGAAGAUUACGAGCCUUUAAACUUCGAUUUCCCGAAUGAAGAUUUAAUGUAUGUGACAAAUACUGAAGAAGAUUCUUAAGAAGGUCAUCCUUGGAAGCUAAAUUUCGAUGGAGCCUCAAAUGCCGUGAGAAACAGAAUUGGGGCAAUCCUGGUAUCCCCAAACGGAAAUCAUUAUUCAUUCACUAAUAAAUUGAAUUUUGAUUGCACGAAUAAUAUGGAAAAAUACGAAGCAUGCAUAAUGGGCAUCCAUGCAGCCAUAGAACGCGAGAUCAAAGUGCUGGAGAUAGACGAAGAUUCUGCACUAGUAAUUUAUCAACUCAAAGGUGAAUGGGAGACGAGAGACCCCAAGUUGAUCAAUUAUCGAAGGCUUGUUCUAGAGCUAAUUGAAGAGUUUGAUAAUAUCACCUUCUAUUACCUCCCACGAGAUGAAAAUCAGAUGGCUGAUGCCUUGCUUAUUUUGGCUUCCAUGAUCAAAGUGAACAAAUAAGAGGAUGUAAAACCUAUCCAGAUGAGUAUUUAUCAGGCUUCGGCUCAUUGUUACAACAUCGAAGAAAAAGAAGAAAAGGAUGAUCACCUUUUGGUACCACGAUAUACUACGAUAUAUGAAGAAUCGUGAGUACCCUAACCAAGCAAAUGAGAAUGAUAAAAGGACGCAAAAAAGACUGGCCAGUAACUAUGUUUUAGAUGGAGAGAUCCUAUAUAAAAGAAGAAAGGAUCAAGUGCUACUAAGAUGUGUAGAUGCUGUCGAGGCUAAGAAAAUCUUGGAAGAAGUCCAUGAGAGGGUCUGUGGGACACAUGCCAAUGGUUUUACCAUGGCCAGACAAAUCAUGAGAUUCAGGUAUUAUUGGUCCACCAUGGAAAGGGAUUGCAUCAAUUAUGCCAAGAAAUGCCAUUAAGUGUCAAAUUUAUGGAGAUAAAAUUCAUGUACCUCCCUCACCUUUUAAUGUUAUGACUUCUCCAUGACCUUUCUCUAUGUGGGGUAUAGAUGUCAUUGGACCAAUCUCACCUAAAGCUUCUAAUGAGCAUCGAUUCAUCUUCGUGAUCAUCUAUUACUUCGCCAAGUGGGUAGAAGCCACUUCAUAUACCAAUGUCACAAAGCCGGCAGUCAGCAAAUUCUUGAAGAAAGAGAUCAUAUAUCGGUAUGGAAUGCCAGAAAGGAUCAUAUCUGACAAUAAAUUGAACUUAAACAAUAGUACGAUAGCGGGGGUUUAUAGUCAAUUCAAGAUCAAACACCACAACUAGUCACUAUAUCGCCUAAAAAUAAAUAGUGCAGUAGAGGCAGCCAAUAAGAACAUUAAGAAGAUCGUGGGGAAAAUGACUGAGACGUAUAAAUGUUGGCAUGAGAAACUACCAUUUGCCAUCUAUGCUUAUCGAACAUCUAUCAGGACCUCAAUCAGGGCAACACCUUUCUCUCCGGUUUAUGAAAUAGAGGCAGUUUUACCCAUUGAAGUCGGGAUUUCUUUUUCUCUGAGUUUUGACAAACUUGAAAUUGGAGGAAGCAGUAUGGAUCCAAUCCCGAUAUGAUUAGCUAAACUUGAUUGAAGAGAAAAGGUUGAAAGCCAUCUUUCAUGGUCAGAUGUACCAAAAGAGAAUAAUGCGAGCUUACAAUAAAAAUGUUUGCCCUAGAGAAUUCUAUGAGGGAGACCUAGUAUUGAAAAAGAUCUUGCCCAUACAAAAAGAUUUCAAAGGCAAAUGGAUGCCAAAUUGGGAAGGACCUUGUGGGGACAAGGUCUGCAUGUGAUGUGGACAAUUUCUUGUGGAGGAUGGAAAACUACUUCCGUGCCAAAGGCAUCAUGGAGGAUGCGGUUAAGGUAAACACUGCUUCAAUGUUUCUUACUGAUGUUGCGCUUUUAUGGUGGCGAGGUAGGACCACAGAUAAAAGGCGAGGUGAGAUUGGGACGUGGCAAGAGUUCCAAUGCGAGUUGAAGGGACAGUUUUACCCAGAAUUUGCCGAGGAAGAAGCUCGGGCAAAGUUGCAAGAGAUAAUGCAACGGGGCACAGUGGGGGAGUAUGUUCGAGAGUUCAAGGAACUAAUGCUCCAAGUUUUAGAUGUGACCGAUGAAGAAGCAUUGCUUGCUUUUCAAAAGGGAUUGAAGCCGUGGGUCAGACAGGAGGUGGAACAAAGAGGUGUCCAAAAGCUGUCGGAAGCCAUUACGAUAGUUGAGUCCGUGGGCAAGCUUGGUUUAGGGAAAGACAAGCUUGGGUCUUCUUUUCUAGAGAAGCGUUGAUUUUGACUAAGAUGGAUGACAAAAGCUUUUCCAAUCCUGUGAAUUCAGAUUCAGUCAAGAAAUACUUCAACUAAAAAAAAGGGAGAGGCCAAGGUGAAAACUUGCAAAUGGCGCAUUAAGACCAAAGGGGUUUUGAGUUGAAAACCCAAAAAAGGGCAAUUCAAAUUUUGAUCAAAGCUGAGCCAUAUAGAAGUCCUGUCCUAUCAUAACUAACAAGAAAGAGAGAUGUUACAUCUUGGGAGCAUCAACAAUAUUUUAGAUCUCCUAAAACACAAAUCAAGCUUAAAAGGGUCCUUGAGAAAUUAGCGCGAGGAAGCUCAUGCUACAAUAUCUAGGGCACCUAUUUGUAUCUUAUUCACAUUGUAUUUUAGCAAUAUUUUCUAUCUUUGGUUAAUUUAUUCAUUUCAAGAUUUAUUCUCAAUAAAAUUCCUUUUGUCCAUCGUGAUAAUCUUUUUCAAGAAUUUUUCAUUAAAAUAACGAUUAAUGGACCAAUAACAUUCAAAAAGGAGUUCUACAUAUUGCUCUGAAAAGUUUUCUAAAUAGUACGAGAAUCUAAAAAUAUGACCACUAUUCAGAACUAACCGAACUUAAGAGUUGGAAACAUUUGAGAAAGAAUAGUCUAAAUUGUGACUAUUAAAGAUACCAGCUAAACAAGAAGGCUUGGUAACACAUCAGUAAUAGAAUCUUGAUAAGCAGCGAGCAAUGACAACUUAAGCAUUAAAAAGGAAUUAUUCUCGAAAAAUGACAUUAUGCAUUCAUGCAAACAUCAUUCAUACACAUCUAGUUAGGAGCAUUUGAUUCAUUCUGAUUAUAACAUCCUAUCAUUCAGCAUAAAUAGAGACCUAUGAAUUGGAUUUUACAGGUCAUGUUACCUAAAGAAGGGUGUAACAGAUCAUUAAAACCAUAAAUCUUGUACCCCUGAAAUUGUAGUGGGACGGAUUGAAGUUAUAAUGGCAAAUCUUAUCUCCCUAAAGUUGUAGUAGAGCAUAUUGAAGUUAUCAUGGCGAAUCUUAUCUCCCUGAAGUUGCAUUGGAGCAUAUUAAAGCCACUAAUCUCAUCUCCCUAAAGUUGCAGUGGAGUAGAUUGAAGUUAUCAUGGUGAAUCUUAUCUCUUUGAAGUUGCAGUGGAGUAGGUUAAAGCCACAAAUCUUAUCUCCCUGAAGUUGCAAUGGAGCAAAUUGAAGCCACAAAUCUUAUCUCCCUAAAGUUAUAAUAGAGCUGAUUGAAGUUAUCACAGCAAAUCUUAUCUCCUUGGAGUUGCAGUGGAGCAGAUUGAAACCACAAAACUUAUCUCCCAAAGUUGUAGUGGGAUGGAUUGAAAUUAUUAAGGCGAAUCUUAUCUCUUUGAAGUUGCAGUGGAACAGAUUGAAACCAUAAAUCUUAUCUCCCUGAAGUUGCAGUGGGAUGGAUUAAAAUCAUUAAAGCGAAUCUUAUAUCCCUGAAAUAGUAGUAGAAUAGAUUAAAGCUAUAAACUUUAUCUUCUUGAAGAUGCAGUGGAGCAGGAUAAAGUUACUAAUCUUAUCUCCUUGAAGAUACAGUGGAGCAAAUUAAGGCUACAAAUCUUAUCUACUUGAAGUUGCAGUAGAGCAGGUUAAAGCGACAAAUUAUAUACCUUUGAAGUUUCAGUGGGUUGGAAAAAGGUGACUUGGAGAAGAUGAACACUAAAGAAGUCAAGAUUCGACAAGACCGGGCAAAAUUGGUCCUUCUUAAAAGUCUUUACUUCAUUUCCGUUACACGACAAUGAGCAAAGAGGGGCAGCUGUAAUAACCCAAUUUGCCCGAGCCCGAAUUACAAACAAAUAAAAGGCCCAAACAAAAUCAGAUACACAAAACCAAAAAUAAAUAAUAAAAUCCAUUAAAGUCCAGUCCAUUUACAACCAAUGCCAAACCCAAUUUACAAAUACAAGCCCAAGUACAAAGGACAAGCCCAACAGAAUUACACGGCCCAACAGGCCUAAAACUUUAAAAAAAUUUCAGAAAGCCAGAAACCUUAGGGUUUCUGGCACCGUUUCUCCUUGGCCACAUCACCCAUGCCUCUUCUGAGGUUCCUCGUCCCUAGGCCCGUCUGUAACCUUGCACCAAGAUGGAAAAAUCCCUCCUCCACCUCCGCCAACGCCUGCAAAUGAGCAAAAAAAGGGAAAGCAAAAACAAAGCAAAAUAAACAGUAGAAAAUAAUAGUAAACAUUUUGUAUUCAGUUAUAAAGCCACCGAAAAAAUGAUUGUAAAUACAUAGACAAUUAAUCAAAAACAAAACUUAGUUAAAAAAGAUGUGAUUUUUUCUUCUAUGUAUUCUAGUUUAUUUUACUGUAUUUUUAUUUUGUAAAUAAUAAACGAAAACAUCAAGAGAGGAGAUCGAAAUUACCUAACGCCUUGCGUCCCGUUGCUAUAGGCGGCCGAUGUCUGUCGUUUUCGAUGAAAAAUAAUGUCUUUAGCCUUGGGAGGUCGAAAAAAAUAUAAAAAAAGACCUUUUUGUUUUCCGGCCACCGUGGACGGCGGCGCCGUCGUCGCGACCAGCAGUCGCCACGGUGGUCGAUGGUCGAAACCGGGGCCGGAAACUGUGAUAGAACAAAGAAAUGAAAUUUUUUUUAAGAACUGUUGCUGAAAUGAGGGUAUGAAGGAUUUUUUUUUGUAUUUAUAUAGCCCCUAUAUGACAUCGUUUAGGGCAGCCUCCUGAAGCCCUAAAAUGACAUCAUUUCCACCCUAGGAUCCGCGUGUCAACCCGACCCGUUCAGAGGAUCCGCAUGUUUUGGGGCGAAUAGGCUAUUUGCUACUUUAGUCCUUUCGUAUUUUUAUAUUUUUCAAUCUAGCCCUGUCUAUGUUUUAUGUAUUUAUAAUUUUUCCACAUAAGUUUACUCUCUUUUCAUUUCGACCCUUUAUGAAAUGGUGCGUUUUGGAGGACAGUGAAUAUUUCCCCAUUUGGCCCCUCCAUGUUAUUCGCACUUUUCAAUGCGGUCCCAUAUUUUAUUUUAUUUUAUUCUGAUUUACGCCCUUAAAUUCCAUUUAAUUUUCAUUUUAGUCCAUUUUUAUGUUUAUUCAUCUAUUUUAUUAUAAUUUAGACUCUCAAUUUUAUUUAAAUCUCAAUUUAAUCCUUUAUUCACUUAACUUUAUCUUUUAUAUAUGCAUCUUGAUUUGUUUUAUUUGAUUUAUUUAUUUUUACAUUCAUUCGUUCAUUUAAUUUUUUUUUACUCUUCUUGUACUUAGAAUUUAUAUGAUUCUUUAUUCCUUUGUUUACACAUAUUAUUAUUAUUAUUGACCAUUCAUGUAUUUUAUUUACAAAUUGCACCCUUAAUUCUAUUUAUAUUUUAAUUUAGUCCUUUAUCUUCAAUAUUUUAUAAAUUAUUUUCCCCAAUCAUUUUGUGAUUUAUAAUUUGUUUUUUUUCUUAAUUCUUUAUUUAUUUAUUUUCAACUUUUCAUUAAUUUUUUUUUGUGUUGUCAUUUAAUUAGUCAUUUAUAUAUUUACUAUUGCGAUCUGAACUUCUCAUACUUUUUAUUUCGCUAUUAUUUACUCAUUAUUUAUGCAUUUAUUAUCGCUUUAUUUUUAUUUUAAGGUUUAUAUUGGUCAUAUUUACACAUUCCUUAUUCAUUAUUUGUACAUAUUUCAUUCCUUAAUUAUAUUUUUACGUGUUAUUUACAUUUAUCAUUAUUACUUAGUAUCUUUCACUUCUAUUUUUUUAUAUUUUAAAUUUACUCAUUUAUUUUAUUAUGAUGCGAUUAUUAAUACUAACCAAAAUUAUAUUAUUAUGGUAUUUUUUUAUCUAUUUAUAGUAUUCCUAUGUCAAACAUUAGGUUUUAAAAUCAUCCAUUUGUACAUUAAGCCUAAAUAAACUAAAUACAUAUAAUUUAAAUACUACGUUCGAUGUUAUUCAAAAGAGGGAAGAUUUUUCAAAGUAAGGCAAUAUUUUGUGUUUGGGGACUUGAGAAAGUCGUACCCUAACUUACGGGGUUUCGAUUUUUCUCGUUGGAUCUAAAUAACUAAAUAUUCUUUUAAAAUUGAAACACGUGAAAGUUCAAAAAUAACUUAUUCUAAAAAAUUUGAAGUGUCAUGUCCUAACUUACGGGACGUGACGUUUUGUUGCCUCGAGAUAAGAAGGUCUUCCAUAAUUUUCGACUUAUUCAAGCAAAUUUUUAAGUAAAAAUAACAUAAUACAAAGAGGGAUUGUAUUUUUAAAUUAUUUUCAAAUUUUCAACUUUCAACAUUAAGACAUUAAUUAAUCGAUGAGGUACCAAUUUUGGGCGUUAUGAGGGUGCUAAUCCUUCCUCGUACGUAACUGACUCCUGAACCCAUUUUUCUAAAUUUCGUAUACCAAAAAUCAUUGUUUUAGUAAAUCAAACCCUUUAUUAAAACAAGCAAAUUACGAGGUGACCGAUCACAUCUCACAAAAAUUAUUGGUGGCGACUCCCAAUUUUCGUUUUUCAAAAUAAAAAGUCGACCUUUUCAAAAAAUGGUUUCGACAGGCAUCAUAGAAUAUUACAGCUAUUCCAAAUUAACCUUUUUGUAUUCAAUAUAUGAUAAUGAACUCAUUUGGUUGGUCUUAUGUCUAGAUUGUAUUUGAUAGUUAGCAUAUUAGUUUUGUUAAAUUAACUUAAAUCUUUGAAAUGUUAAAAUUGAAUGUAAUUACAUGAUUAAUCGCAUGGAAAAGAUGUUAAUUGAAGCAUGUUAUUUACAUUAAAGGUGUGACUAAUUUGGAGAUUGCACAAAUUACUUACUUGUUCUAAUUGUUAAAUUGAAUUGAGUUGUAAAUAUAGUGUGAAUUUUUAUUCCUUUACUUAUAGAUAUAUGCACGAGUAUGUGAGUUACAUGUAUUCCUUUUUAUGUAAGUAUGAUUUGAAAUGAAUGAUUUAUGGCUAAGAUUACAACACAACAACUUACUUUAUUUUCUAAUACUAGUAAUAUUUGUAUACAAAAAUUGAAACUGCAUAAAACCUUUUCUGUAUAAAAGAUAUAGAAAAGUAAAUGUACUUGAAAAUCUUUUUGGAGAAAUUAUUUUAUUUGCAUGCCCCUUGUAAUUGGGUUCCAUAUAAAAUACCUUAUAAAUUUAUGGAAUGAUUAUCCUCUUAACUUAAAAUAUUUAAAGUUGUGGGAGCGGCUAGCUAAACUUGAGAAAAAUAAUUUUUUUCCUGAUUGCAUGAGUUAUUUUGAACAUAGCGUUGCAUUUAUGUUGAAAAGUCACAUGCUACAUCUUUAUUUUCAAUACUAGUAAUGAGUAAAGAGUUUUCUUGCUUCUAAAUUUGAUAUGAAAGAUAUGGGUAAAACAAAUAUUAUAUUAAGUGUUAAAUUCAUAAGAAAAGAUAAUAAUAUAAUGCUAUAUCACAAUAAUAUUAUAUCGAGAAAUUUUUAAAAAAGUUUGAACACUGUAAAAUUAAAUUUGUGAGUACUCCUUAAGAUGCUAAUACUUAAUUAAAGAAAAUAGGGGUAAGUACAUAGAUUAUUGGGAGUCUGAUGCAUUUAAUAAUAUUUUCUUGACCCAAUAUAGCAUCUGUUGUAUGUAAAUUGAGCAGAUAUACACAUAACUCAAAAUCAGGAGCAUUGGGUUGCUAUAGUUAGACUCAUGAGAUACUUGAAAGGUACUAUGAUUUAUGGUAUUUUUUUUAGUGGAAUUCUCGUUGUAUUAGAAGGUUAUGGUGACACUAGAUUUCAUAUUUAGAUAAGACAAAAUCCACUAAUAGUUAUGUGUUCAUUUUUAGCGGUGGUGCAAUUACUUGAAAAGCAACCAAAUAAACUCUUAUAGCUAAAUCUACCAUUGAGUUAGAGUUUAGUUGGUUAGUAAUGAAGUUUUGUGGUGGGAAAACUUAAAUGGUAAAGAAUAAGACUUUUAAUGGUAAAAAUAGAUAAACUCAUCUAAGAUAUAGUAUGAUAAAAUAACUUCAAAAAGAUAGAAUCAUAUCUAUAAGGCAGAAGUAAAGUUGGUCAAUUCUCUAGCUAAACCUCUAAGAAGAACAUUAAAAAAAAAAAACAUCGUGGGAAAUGGGAUUACUAUCAACUUGAGAUAUCAAUAUUAAUGGCAACAUGACAUAUGUGAUUGGUAAUCCCAUGAAUUAUUUUUAUAUGGGUAAUAACCAGUCAUUAGUUGAUUCAUUGAACACUAUGAGUGAUGUCCUUCCUAUGAUUUAAGUAGUGCUAAAAUUGAAAAGAAAAUAAGAUAAAAACUCUUCAUCAAAUUCAUAUUCUUUAUAGAUGGUGUAUUAAUUUGCAGUGUUCACUUGAUGAAUUAAUCUAUAUGAGUGUAUAACAAAGCUGCUUCUAUGAGAUUUGUAGUGAAAUCUCUAGAGUACAGAUGAACUAUACAUAAACACACUUCAAGUUCCAGUUUCUUCGUUGAUUCAAAUAUUCUAUUUGAUGUUGCUUUUGUUGUUGUAAGAGGUAUUAUGACCUCCUUUUGAAUGUGCCCUGUGCAAUUUGAAAUGAAUCGAUAUUUGAGAAAAAAAAGGUCAUCAAUAUUCCAAUAUCAUGCAUAAUUGUAGUCCCUAAGUGACUCAACCAAUACAUGGUGAUAGUGGGAGGCCUAAGCUAAUGGGGACCCUAUUCCAACCUGCUUUUAUUUGUUGCCGUUCACUGCCAUUUAAACACUUGAUUUGUUGUUAAUAAAUUUCAAGUUGCCAUACAAAAUUCUGUAUUCAGAAGAACCAUGCGCAAGCAUUUUCACCAAUUUUUUACAAAAAAUAAUGAACUACUUGAUUAAUUAAUGAACCACUUAGCUUGGGGUUACCUGUUAUGCCUCUUUGGUGGUCCUCUAUUGCAACAAGCUUUUUUUUGUCUUUUAUUUCUCCUAACGCAUGUAAAACCUAGCACACAUUGGUUGAAAUGUGAUAACAUACAUCAACAAAUAUUGUUUUAAUUGGUAGUUGUGAGGAUGAAGAAUUCCAGCUUCAUUUGUUGCAUAUUCUUAGCUAUGCUUCUAUUGGCAUCAUCGGGUACAUUUUCUUAACCCUUGUAUUUAGAGAUUGCAGUGGAAUGGAAUAAGGAACAGAUUGCCAUGUCCAUAACCGUUUCACCCACUCUUGUAUGAAUGUUGAAAUCAUCCAUCCCAUCCUAGUUAUUUUCAUAAGCAUUUCAUACACUAAUACAUUGCUUCACUGUACUUUCUUUUUAAUGAUUUUUCAAUAUAAUACAAAGAAAUAUAUAUUUAUGUUUUAGUUAUACAUAAUGGUAUAGUUUGAUAUAUGCACGCUUUUUUUCUUUAAAAAAAAAAACUCUCCAUUUGAAGUAGAUCGAUGUAAAAUACUCGAAUUUUAUCAUCUCUGUAAUAAGAUUUUUCUUUUUGUAAGGAAUGAAUGAAAUAGCAGGAGAGGCGAGGGAAUUGCUGGUGGGAAAGAGUGGAGGGAGGUGCAUUGAAGUGAUGGACCCAAAGGGAUGUAAUCUGGUUUCUUGCAAACAGCAAUGCCUUCAACUCAAGAAUGGGAAUGGAGUUUGCUUGGCUAAUGUCAAACAGGGUUAUCAAUGUGUUUGUUACAUCAAUUGCUAACUGGAACUUGAUUUGUGUUUAUUAGAAUGCAUCAAAUAACCCUCUUCGUUUAUUUUGCUUUUAUUCUUUCAUGCUUCCUUUUCAAUUGUUUGCACAACAGAUCAUUUUGAACAUGUUACCAAACAAAAUAAUUAUAAUAUGAUACAACAUGAAAAAAUAUAUAUAUAAACAUAAAGCAAACACUAAAUUAUAUCAAAAUUUACAUCAUAAUGAUACAAAGUUUGCAUAAAUAUACACAAGAAAAGUAACGUGAAUAACCGUUUACCGCAUAAGCGAUGUCAUGCUGAGACGGCGAACAACACUGUAGAUUUGCUGAAUGCUACUUUUUGAGGAUGACCAUACGAACCACCAGAGCCAAGCCUCGAGUUCCACCUACAAGGUACUUCCCCGAACAUAAAUGUAAGAUUUUGCAGAAGAUAAAAAGAGCGCCAAUCCCAUGGCACUAAGUGCAGCCAGCAGCCAAUAGAAGUAAUCAAGAUGUGCCCUAUUAAGGUUAUUUGCAAACCAGCUAUCUUGGCCACCCUCACCAGUCAUCUUCUCAAUGGCUGAGAUGAGAAAACUACUCAAAAAGCUUCCAACACCAAAGAUGCUAAGGUAGAGUGCAAGGCCGACACUCCUUAAUUCCUUCGGCACCUGAUGAUAAAAAAAUUCUUGAAGACCAACCAUCGCAAACACAUCAGACAAUCCAGACAGUAUGUACUGAGGGAGCAGCCACCAGAUGCUCAUUGGAACUGUUACAUUUGGCUUGUCUACUAACCCAUAUUCUUCAGCAGUUUUAAGCCUCCUCAUCUCUACUAAAGCAGCAAUUAACAUUGAUAUGACAGAUAGAAGCAUUCCAGUUCCGAUUCUUUGCAGCAUUGUAAUUCCAGCCGGUUUCCCAGUCAAGGCUCUUGCUAAAGGAACAAAAAUGCGGUCAUAUAUAGGAAUGAAGAUCAUGAUCGUAAGGCUAAUAAAUGACAGAAGUGAAGCAGCAGGUAUUUUAAACCCAGCUGUUAUUGAUCUGUCCAUGGUAGCCCCUUGCUUGGUAAAGAAAGUUAUCGUUUGCGCAUAGACAAUGGCAUAAAACAAGCUUGCAGCCCAUAUUGGUGCAAGCCUUAUAACCGUCUUCGCUUCUUCAACCUCUCCGGUGCUACACACCUUUCCUUGUUCUUUUGAACCAUCAGGAGCAAGCAAAGCUUUAUUGAGGAACCUAUGCGUUACAAAAACCAUAUCGUCAUUUAAGAGAUGUCUGUGACGGGAAAAUGUAAAUAGGAACAUUGUUUUCGUAAAUCAUAUCCUAAUUCUCUCGUAUGCAAAAAUAUCUCACUUACUUGAAUUGCUUGGAACUUUCAGUUGGAAGAGUUCCUCGUGCCUCUUCCUCUGCAGCAAUUGCUGAAGAUGUUGUCUUCCAAUUCCUAACAGCCAAAAUGAACACUCUACCAAUUCUCAGAAAUGGGUUUUCUUCAUCACCUUUGAUACUAUAUCUGUAAGUUGUGGUUCCAAGCACAAAAGCAAGCAGACCAACAACCAUUACAAUAGCGGGUAUCCCAAAUCCAAGAGUCCAACUAAGAUUGUCUUGGAUGUAGGUUAAAAUCCAAAGGGUUAUGAAGGUGCCAGCACAUAUACCAAAAUACCACCAAUUAAAGAAUGAACUUUGGGCUUUACACUCCUCUGGGUCUUGUCUAUCAAACUGAUCUGCACCAAAAGCUUGAACACAUGGCUUGUGCCCACCUUGUCCAAAUGCUACUAGAUACAGUGAGAAGAAGAAUAGUAUGACUUGAAAUUGAGCAGAAGAACUUAAUAUGGUAUUAUCUGUACUUUGGUCACCAGAAUUGCUGACAGAAGGAAGUGCGGCUGACAGACUCAACAAGCCUAGACCCUGUUAAAUCAUUCCACAUCAAGUCAGCACAGAAAACGUCUAGCCAGUACUCUAAUCAAUUACUGGAACAAUUAAAAUAAUCUUGAACACCAAAUUCCAGGAAUUAUGAACUCUCUUAAUAAAAGAAAGGGAAAUUGUUUUACCAAGGUGUAAAGAAGGGAAGCAAGAAUGAUGGUGCGAUAUCGGCCAAGAAAAGAAUCAGCAAUGAAAGCACCCAAGAGUGGCAGAAGUGCCGCCGCACCAGACCAGGCGUUGACUUGAGCGGCGGCGGCGGCAGUGGAUUCGCCGAGAGGCCCCGUCAAGUAAGUUAUGAGAUUUGAGGAGAUGCCAUAAUAAGCAAACCUCUCAGCAAUUUCAACGGCAAUGAUGAAAGAAGCGGAUCUCCAGCCGCCGGAGUUAGAGCGGCGGACGGGACGGCCUUUGUAGUCAAGGGAGGCGUCAAUGGUGUCAUCUAAAAGUGGAGUUUGAGCAGUGGAGAGAUUGGAGAUCGCCAUCGCUUUUGCCAAAGCCUUGCAAUUUGGAUGUACUUAUCUCCGUCAGCAGUAAAAAAACAGAUUCAUGUCGGAUUCGCUCUUUGCUUUUGCUAAUGUUAGUAAAUAAGAAUAAUGUCAAUCUUUUUUCUACCUUAAAACUUUCUAAACACAAAGAACAAGAAAAAGGAAAGUUAAAAUAUCUCGUUGAUUUUUCAAUUUUUUUUUUGAUUUAAUUCUGUAAUAAAAUUUUAUAAAAUUAAGUACUAUUUCUUUCAUUUAAAAGUUUAUCCAUUUUCUAUGGCUUUUUUUUUUAAUUUUUAAUGUAUAUAAGAUUAAGGAUUUUUUAUUUUAAUUUAUAUAAUUACUCUAAUUAAGAUAAUUGUUUAAAUUAGUCAUUAUCUUUAAAAUUCUAUUAAUCUAUAAUUUAGUUGUUUAAUGGGAUGCUUGUAUUUACCAAAAAUUAUAUAUUUUAGUACUAAAAAAAAUAAUUGUGCUAAUUUUUAAUGCUUAAUUUGAGAUUUAGAGUUAAUUUAAUAAAAUAUAAUAAUAGAAUAAAUUUAGUGUGGAUUGUAAUUUGUUUAAUUUUGUGCGUUAAAUAAAGUUUGAAGGUUGUGAUUCUUUUUCAAAUUUUAACAUUGAUUUGAUAAAAGUUAAUUAUUAUUUAAUUAUAUUUUAUAACAUUAUCUUAAGGUUUGCCAAAUACAAAUACUAUAUUGACUCAAAAACAAACACAUGAAUCAAAACUAAAAAAAUAUCUCAAAUUCAGAUACUAAAUAAUGCAAAAUUAUUAUCUAUUUCUUAUAUUAUUUUUAAGGGUUUUUUUUUACCCUUUAUCUUUUUAACUUUUUUUUUCUUUUAAGAAUUAAUAUAUCAUUUGGUAAAUGAGUUCAGUUUUAAUGUUUAAUUUAAUACCUAAGUUGACUUCAAUAUUUAAAUUGGUACCUUGACCAAAUGGCAUCAUGUCCUGCACUGAAUAUUUAACACGUGUGCUCUAAUAAAAAAAUGCAGGUACUUAAUUGGGACAAAAAAAAUGCAAAUAUCAAAUUAUACAUUGAAGUCAAACUUAAAUAUCAAAUUCAAAAAAGAAGCUCAAAGAUCGGAUUAAAUAUUAAUGUUAAACUCGAGUACCAAAGAGUAUAGUAACCCCUCUUUUAGUUAUAAUCUUUUGAUUUUUUUUCUAAAAAAAAUAUUUAUAAAUUAGAAGAUUAAAAAAAUUUAUGAACAAUAUAUCCUUGAUAUUUAUUUUACAGUCCAGGAAGGUUGUGACAGCCCUAAUUUGGCUCUAGUCUGAAAGUGGUUUCGGGAUCACAAAAUCGAGUCCCAAAAAUAAUCAAAUGUUAUAUUAUGUGUUUAUUUCAUGUGAAAGUGCAUGUGUGAAAAUCCCAUGCUUUGAUUCUGCCAUUUGUGAGUGAAAUUAUGAAAUAGGACCUAUGUGAAAAUUUUUGAAAAUGCUAUAAGCUAAUAUGUAGUGGCCUAAUAAAUAGUAGUGCAAAAUAGGAGGAUUUGCAUGUCAAACUCCCCAUUUUUUGUGUAGUCAACAUGUGCAAAUUUUUUUUUAUUGAAGUUAUGACAUAAGUAUGGCACAAAUAAUAUAUGUUAUUUUGUGUCAUAAAAUGUUUAGUAAUAGAAUAACAAAAAGGAAGAAAAGGAAGGUUUUUGUUCAUUCUUGUUCAUGAAAGCUGAAAAUAGAAGAGAAAGGAGAGGAAAAGAGCUCUUGAAUGUUCGGUCACUUGGGGAAGAAAAAUCCAAGGUAAGUUCAUGGUAGUUUGCUUCUAUCUUGAUGUUCAUGGGUUCUUCUUGAUCCUACCCUAACUCAUGAAGCAUAUUUUGAUUUUUGGUUGUGUUGUGAGCAUUCGGUCAUGAAUUAAAAUGAAGGAAAUGGUUGUUGUUUCAUGUCCUUUUGAUGAAAAAUGGAAGAUAGGUGAAGUUGAGCCAAGCAAAUGAGCAUGCAUGUGCCUUAGAUGCUAAGGGAAAGAUCGGCUAACAUGUUGUGCUUUAAAAUGAUGAAAUGAAGAUUAUGCUUAAGUAAAAUUAUAGAUAUGUGAUGAGUGAUUGGUGAUAUGCAUGUUUAAAUAACAUACAUGCAAGGUAUGUGUGAAAGAGUGAUUUGGUAAUAAAUCUGUUUGGGACAGCAGCAGUAACGUGAUUUUGGAAAAUCACCAUAAAUUGUGGGAGAUUAGUUAGAAGCUGAAUAAAUUAUUUAAUUAAAGCUUAAUGAGUCUAGUUUCUUAUAAAACAAACCACGUAAGAAAAAAAAUUUCCGAUAAUGAGAUAUUUUAAGUGAUGUGGGACAGGGUCAGAAUGACUUCUAGAUCCUCUGUUCUGUCUUUAUAAAAUCAUUAUAAAUUGUAAAAAAAUGUUCAUAAGAUGAAAUUUAUAUGCUUAGACUCCUUAAUGAGUCUAGUUUCAAAUGAAAUAAACUAUAACAUAUUUUGAAUUCUGUACAAUAAGAAAUUUGAUUUGUAGUGAGGAGUGGUCAGAUUAGUCAAACAGUGAAAUAGGGGAAACUUUAAGAAAAAUCUGGUAUUUAUUGGCCAAACCAAAAAUUCUAAAAAUUUUAUGGAUGAAAGAUAUAUGAGUCUAUCUUCAGGUAAAAUUAACAACACUUGAUUUUGAGUUUUGUAGCUCCAGUUAUAAAUGAUUUAGUGACUGUUGCUCAGGAAGAUAGCUUGCAGUGAAAUUAUGAUUAUGUGGUAAACAUUGACAAAAAUUUGUUAAUGAGUUGCUUAUUGAUUUCUUAUAAGCUUACUAUGAUCAGUAGGUGUGAAAGUCGAAUAUAUAUAUGUAUAUAUUAUAUUUUGAAAGUGAUGCUUGAAUAGUCGAAUAAUGACUAGUUUAAAAUCUUUGAAUUUAAGCUCAAUAGCAUAGAGGGGCAAAAUUCGGAUAAGGGAAAAGAGAAAGUAAUUGAAUAGCCAUUGUAAUUGUUUGGCAACAUUCAAGGUAAGUUCUUAAGUGUUUAAGCUUGAUUCCUUUUUAUAUGCCCAAGAGUUAAAUUAAUAUGGAAAAGGGAAUGUAAAUUUUAUUUAGUUAAUGUGCCGAAUAUGUAAUGAUUUAAGGCUAUAAGCCGAUUAUGGCUAUUAUGCUUAAGUUGAAUUGGAUUUGGAAAUUUGAUGCACUAAAUGAGUGUUACAAUGAAUAAACUGUGCCGUAUAUGUGCUGGUGGAGAUAUCACGAUUUGUGAUUAUUAAAUACCUAAAGGAAACCAUGAUGUGUAUAAAAUUAUUAUUAUUAGUCCUUUGUGGUAGCCGAAUAUGGCUUGGCACUAAAGUGAUUAAAUGUGAACUUCGAUAAGGUAAACUAUUAAAAGUGUGGUGCUAUAAGACUAUGGGCUAAUACGAUAUGUGGAUUCGUUCCGUAAAGUAAAUUAUUAAGGUAUGUGAUAUGUACUUAUGCAUGUUAAAUCGAUUGGAAUUGAAUCAUCAAUGUGAAUUGCGAAGCAUAGGUAAAAAUGCCUAUGACAUAUAUGUGAGUAAGGGUAAAACCAUCGUAAAUUAUCGAUAAGGAUGGGCUAUGUGCGGAACCAUCUUAUAAUUGCUAAUUUGAAAGGUUGUGUGUGAAUUAGUGAGCAAUAUGUAUAUAUUAGAUGAAUCGUGACAUUUUGGUUCUACUUGAAUUAAGUUGUGCGAUAAAUAAUUUAUGUAUAUGACUUAUAGUCGAAUGGUCACUAUGGGUUAAGUUUGAAUGGUAAAAUGGAUAUGUGAUAUUUAUGAAUGACUUUUGAACCGAAAUGUAAACGAUAGUGUUCAUAUGGAGCUUAUACCCGAAUGUUGCAAAUGACUACGAAUGUGAUAUGUUGAAUGAGAUGUAUUAAUAUAUGAUUAAAUAUGCAUGAUAUUUGAUGUGUAUUCGGGUUAAAUCCCGCAGGCUUCGUGCUGGUAUUAUAUCCAGAAUAAAUCCCGCAGGCCUAGUGCUGGUAUUAUAUUCGGGCCUUCGUGCCUAGCAGGCUUAGUGCCGGUGAUGUGUAUUCGGGCCUUCGUGCCUAGCAGGCUUAGUGCCGAUGAUGUGUAUUCGGGCCUUCGUGCCUAGCAGGCUUCGUACCGGUGAUGUGUAUUCGGGCCUUCGUGCCUAGCAGGCUUCGUGCCGGUGAUGUGUAUUCGGGCCUUCGUGCCUAGCAGGCGUAAUGCCGGUGAAAUGAUAUGUUAUGUGAAUUCGGUGUUCCUUGUAAGAUAAGGGUUUAGCCGAAUGUUAAAGAUGAAAUGAUAGUGUAUUGUAUCAUGCUUAUAUGGCCUAAUGGCAAGUAUAACAUGUUGGUAAAAAUGCAAUAUGCUUUUAUAAUCGAAUGAUAAGUUUGAAAUGAACGUGAGUGAAAUGUUAUGCAUAAGCUAUCAAAUGCUAAGUGUGAAAAUGAGAUGAAAGAAAAGUGUUUGAGAUAUAUAAUUAUAUACGUUCGAAUGAUGUUAGUACUUAAUUGAUAUGAAUAUGUUAUAUGGAACUUGUUGACUUGAUUAUUCGGGCCUUUGAGCUUAGCAAACUAUAAUACCGGUGAGAUACUAUUCGGGCCUUCGAGCCUAGCAGGCUAUAAUGCCGGUGAACUGAUAUCGGGCUCGAGCCUAACAGGCGAAAUGUCGGUGAUUUGAGAAAAGUCCAUGACUAAGGUACCUCAUGUUAGGUUGACAAAUGAAUACAUUCAGUACGUUAAGUGGGCCAGGUACGCAUUAUGUACUCAUAUGUGAGUUUGAUCUGCAAUGAAUCAUAAGCGUGCAUUGUGAUACAUACGUGAAUAAAUGUUAUAACUAUAUCUAUGAUCAUGAUACACCGGGUCAGGGUGUGAAAGUAUGUGAAAGUAUUCGAUAAUUAUGUUAUAUGAAUUCAGAUUAAGUGUGAUAAGAAUGCUGAACGUGCAUUAUGUGUUUGUGUGUAUUCGGCCAGAUGGCAAUAUACCUAGAAUAUGGCCACUUAAGAAAUUGAAUAAUCGAAGUAUAAUUGCGUUUAUUUGUUUGCAUUGCUUAAGACUUACUAAGCUUAUGAAAGCUUACUCCGUUGUUACAUUCCUCUGUUUUAUAGAUUGUUGACUUCGGUUACCUGCUCGGGUUGGAGUUCACCGGAGAUAUUAUCACACUGUUGAGCUCACGCUAUUGGUGUAAGUAAAUCCUAGUAUUUCGAGUCUAUGGCAUGUAUAGGGUUUUAAUGUUGAGUAUGUGAUAUUAUAAUUUAGCCAAAGGUGUUGGCUAGUGAUGUUUUGGGCCUCGUAAGCCCAUAUAUGGGACAUAUUGCAUAUGAAAAGAAAAGUUUUAAAUUAAUUGAAAUUUUUCGGCACUAUUUUUGUGUGAUUGACUGAGUUUAAGUCGGCAACACCUCGAACUCUGUUCCGGCGAGGGAUACGGGCGAGGGGUGUUACAAAGAUUAAUUCUUUUCAAGAUUUGUGACUGUCUUUUUAAACAAUAUGAUCUUCAGGGUUUGACCCUGCGAUCUCUUCUUUAGAGUUUAUUGUCUUACCAUGGCAUCAAAUAUUUGAUAAAUAAAAACUUAUAAAUACAUUAAAAAUGAAAUUUAUUUUUAAGAAAAAAAUGUUUUUCUAAGCAUUUUGGUAAAAAUAUAUUUGAAAAAAGGUAGAGUCUCCGAUUAAUGGUAAUAAUUUAUUCUUUUGUUUCAAUUAUGAAAAAUUAUAAAACAGUCUGCUAAUUAUUUUAUUUUAUAUUUUUUUGGUCAUCAGCCGUUAAAUAAUUAAUUGAAAGAUAACAUGACAGUUUUUAGAAUUAGCAUAAUUGUAAUUUUAACUAUCAAUAUUUAUUCAUUAUGUCAUUUUAAUUUUAAAAAAAUAUAAUCCUCAAUGUUAACACAUUAUGUAAUAAUUUACUAAUAAUUAAUCUAUGAGUGCGUUGUGAGAGCUUCCCAGGUUUUGAUGUAGCUUUGUUGCUUAGGAUUCUGUUUCGGGGGCCAUUUGUUGAUGUUUUUGUUGCAGGACAUUCCUUGGUUUUCUGGUGGUUGAAACCAUGUAUGAUGGAUGGCUUCACUUUGCCCUUUCCGUGACUUUCAAGGUGGUUAUCGGAGCCUGCUGUUGAGUCCCUUGCAAUGAUAUAACAUCCCUAUUCCCUGCCCUAGUUGGAACUCUGGCAUGCCCACAAUUAGGGGUGAGCAAAAUUCGAUUCGAUUCAAAAAAUUAGAUAAAAAAUUCAAAUUUUGAAUUAAGUAGUUCGAGUUAUUUAAGUUAAUCAACUUAUUCGAAUCAAUUCGAAUAAAAAAAUUAAAUUUUUUUGUUUAACUCAAAUAUGAAUUAUACAAUUCGAGUUAUUCGAAAAUUCAAAUAAAAAAAGGUAAAACUACCUUGUUUUAAUAAAUGUUUACCUUUCUAAAGUUAAAAGUGAUCAAAACCAUUAAGUUAAAAAGUAAAAUUAUGUCAUUUUGAUAAAUAUUUACUCAUUAAGUUAAAAGGUAAAAUCAUUAUAUUAUUUAUGUAGUUAAAUAAUCUUGUACUUCGUCUACUAGUUAAAUAAUCGGUCCAUUUAAACGCAAUAUUAAGUAUAAAUAAUAGGAUUCGUUAACCCAACUCGACUUAACUCGAAUUUUUUUUACUCAAUUUCGAUUCGAUUCGAAAAAAAUUCAAAUUAAGUUUGGUUGCGCUAAAUUAGGAUUCGUCAACUCAACUAACUUAAAAUUUUUUGACUUGAUUCGACUUGACUCGAUCGAAUACUCACCCUUACCCAUAUUGUUGAUAGAGGUUACUGAUCAGCCGUGCUGCCCUUUUUUUUGGUUGAUUUUUGGUUUCGUUUGCUUUUUGUGACGCUUUCUUCUCUCCAUUGAGUAAAUGUUCUUCCAUUAAAAAAAUACUAUUGACAUUAUAAUUUCUAAUCCUAAUAUAAUACUAAUCUUGUAACAACAAAUUUAAAUGUACUUUAUUCAUGCAUUAACUUUUUCUUCUAAAUUUAUCUUACUUUUAAAAGUACUGUGCACUUGUUUUUAUCUCUUCCCAAUUUAUACACGUAUUAGUAGGAUAGAUGACUUUGAUUUUUCUUUUGACUCCAUCUGGAGUUACGACCUACUCGACCAUUUGUCCUGGUUAAAGGAGUAUAAAGCUCCCGUUCUUAUAGUCGCCCGCUUGGAAAGCCUUUUUAGCCAACCCCUCCACUUCUAGAAAUGAGGUGAGCAUUUGCCUUUUAAGUGUGAACACUCGUCAAGUAUGAACGCACCUUCAAGCACAUUGGGAUCCACUUGGGCAUAACAACCUUGUAUUGAAUAACAUAAUAGACUCCACUAAUGCACAUCCUUUGCAUAUUGUAUGAUGGUAGCAUCCUUCAUAACGUCUUGUCACAUUCUACUAAUGGAUAAGGGGACCUAUUCUAUAAAUACCUUCCUAACGAUGAAGAAGGGAUAGACCUCUAAAGCCUUAGGUAUACUCUGGGCAAUUAUUCUCUCUUCUAGCAAUUAGCCUAUUUUCUUGUCCAUUUUCGACUCUCCGCCUCUUUAGGUGAACCGACUCGCGACCACGUACUCUUUCUUGUCUCCUCCCUUAUUGUGUAUUGUAUCAACAACACUAUAUUUUUAAAAUAAACAAAAAAAGUCUAUAUAUAUGUCAGAAAAACGAGCAAAAUAAUAUUUCUUAUAAUAGUAAAAAAGAAGAAGAAGAAACUAUUAAUUUUAUGAGGUGAUAAUUAAAUGUUGUAGGAUUAAUUUAAAAUUUGGUCUGGCAUUUUUAAGUGACAUAAAAUGUUCACUCAGUCUAUUUUAGACUAAUUCAAACGGUUUAACUCAACCCAAUUUCAUAUCCUGACCACGUUAAAAAACAUUGGUUCGAAUUAAGCUACAAUGAAUCAAGUGAAUAUCUUACAUCAAUUAAAAAUGUAACAUCAUUUUUUUUAUAUAUAUCACAUCAAUUAAUUAAAUUCACCCCAUAAAAUUAGUAAUUUUUCUCAACUGAUACAAAGAAAUCCAACAUUUUGCUCAUUUUUCAAACUUAUACAAAGAAAUCCAACAUUUUGCUCAUUUUUCAAAUUUACAUUUCUCACAUUUUCACACUAUAAGACAGAGACCAAUACAAUAAUUUAACCUAAAUAUUACUAUUUUACUAACGCUCAAAAUUUAUUCUUGUACAUGACUUUGGCUUUACCCAAAACAGUGCCGAUUGUUCGAGUGCAUUUCCCAAGAGCAUCACAGAUAAGUUCCCCCGGGGAUUGUCUUCCGGAGCCGGCUUUUCCUUCCGGUGAGAUGCCUUGGCCACGGUUGGGAAGCACGGAGGCUGCUUCUUUGAGAGCCUCCUUGCCAAAAUAUUCAGCCAGUUUCGGUUGCUGCUGUGGCGGUGGGGGCGAUGAGAUUGAGACAUCGGUUUUACGUUUGUCGUCUUCAUCAUGAUCAGGGACAAUAACUGUAUGUCCUUCUUUCAGUCUAACACGUUCCCUUUGUGGGGUUGGCGACCAUAUUCCAGCAGCGGCCAAAGAACCGAGUACAAGACUCAAGGCCAAAAUGUUGAUCAUCUCUCUUUAUCUUCCUACUUAUGAGAAGGUGUUGGCUGCAAAAUGAAUGGAGGUUUGAGGAUAUGUACCACAAUCCACGUUGCAUGUAGCAAGCAAACGAGAAAGUGACGCGUUUGCACUGAAUCGACCACUAUGUUUCGCACGUGGCUGCUUUUGAGGGUGCCCUCGCUGGGUUUUUUAGUUACGGUCAAGAAGAGAAAAUUCGAGAGCGGUCCUAAACUAUUGUCGGAACGACAGAAAGAAAGCCAUAGUCAUAGAGCCCUUUGUUUGGAUUAUCAACACUAAUGGAAAGUAACUAGGCAUAUUAUUUUAGGGUAAACAACAGUAAUAGUUGACGAAUUAUUAGUUAUUCAAUUUUUUAUUUUCAUCCAUUAUUACUAAAUUAUGUGAAUUUAGUCUUAUUUUUAAAAUAUUUAAUCCUCAAUAUUACACAUUAUAUAAUUUGAUAUUUUCAUUUUGUAGUUUUGCUUUUCUCUAUAACAUAGAGAGCUAAUUUUAAAAGAAUAUGAAAAUGAUUAAAAUUAUUAUCUUGAACUUUUAGUAUUUCUAUUUUUGUAUAUUUUCAAUCAAAUUUAACUAAUAAAUUUGUUUUUUUAGCUUUUAGAUGAAAAGAUCAUGACGAAAAAUAAAACUGCGCAAAAGACUAAAUUACACAAUGGGUAAAUAUUGAGGAUUAGAUUCUUUUAAGAAUUAAGACUAAAUUGACACAAUAUAUAAUUGUUGAUAGUUAAAGUUGUUAUUAUGAUAAUUUUAAAAGUUAUCACUAUAGUCCAUUAAUGAUGACCAAAAAAGACAAAUUUGAGUAGGUGGGUAAUCAUUUUGUAACUUUUCAUAAUUUAGUGACUAAAAAGAAAAUUUAUUAAUAAUUAGAUGACUACUAAUAUAAUUUAUCCAUUAUUUUACUUAGAUAAUUAAAAUAAUUAAACGAAAGAAAGUAAAAUAAUCUUAACAAUUUUAUUUGAUUAAACCGUGAAAAUGAAAUGCAGUGGUUUAUUAUGAUAGGUUUUUAUAAUUAUGACUUUUUUAUAAAAUAAUUUACCGUAUGCUUAAUUGCAUUAUAACAAAAGAAAUAAAAUGAAAGUAAAAAAAAAAAAAAAAUUGAAUUGAAUAUUUCUUCUUUUCUUUAAAUUACUUUGUUUUUAUUAGGCAAGUCGGAUUCUAGGAUUAUUUGAGAGUACAAUUAUUUAGGCCCAAGAUUGAAAAGGCCCAAAAAAUAUUUUUCAGUUUUUAAUGUUAAAAAAUUUAGACUAAAAUAAAUUAAUUAAAUAUUUAAGGCUUUUAAUUUUUUAUCAUAAAUGUUUUAUCUUCUAGGGCCCAAAAAUUUUAUUGUAUUACAUUUAUAUAUAUUUUAAAAACGGAUCAAAUUUAUUAUUUUGUCUAGAGUUUCAAAAAUGUUAAUAAUGGACUUAAUUUUGGAAUAAGAAAAAGGAAGAAAAUUUUUUAACUCUAAAUAAUUUUUAUUCUCUACAUUUUUUUAGAUAACCUAUAUUUAUGUAAAUAAUUAUAAAGAGAAAAAAGGAAAGGGUAAAUUAUCUAGUUGCUCACCCAAUUCAAUUUUCAGGGUGCUUUCAUUUUAGUCACCCAAUCAUUAAUCUAUAACGGAAAUUAACUUGUACACAUCACAUCAUGCUCACACUUUCAUUUUGGUUAUCCAAUUUUUUUUUAAUAUUGAUCCGGGUAAAAAAAAUUAAAGAUUAAAGCGAAAAAGCAAUAGAAACUAAAAUAAGGCUUUAAAAAUUGUCAAAUUGUACUUGUUUUCCCCAUUUUCGAAAGCUCUAAAUUUCAUUUUUUUUUCAAUAUUAAAAUUUUAAAUUUCAAAACAUAAAAAUCAAUUAAAUAAGUUAUUGAAUUUUUUUAUCCCUUAAUAAUGUCAACUAAUUUGUUAUUAUAUUAUUGAAAUUAAUUAAUUUAGUCUCCUUUUAUAUCUUAAUUUUUUUAUGUUUUUAAAUUAAAAUCAACUCAAAUAAAUCAUCUUUAAUAAUGGUACAUGAAACCAAAAUUUCUUUUAAUUAUACGAGCUCGAGUCUUUCAUACUAAGCUAAAAAUAAAGAAAAACCCUUAUAAUUAAUUUAAUUAAUUUUAUAUUCAUGUCAAACAAAAUCCAAAAAAUUUCAUCACUUCUUUAACCAAACAAAGAACAGGCAAUUAAUUUAAUUAAUUGUAAUUAUUUUUCUUUGCUUUUUAACUUAGUAUGGAAGAUUUAAAAUUAUAUAAUCAAAAUAAAUUUAAGUUUCACAGACAAAUAUUAAAUAUGAGUUAUCGAGUUGAUUUUGAUUAAAAAUAAUAUGGAAACAUGAAAUAAAAUUUAGAAGGAGAUUAUUUUAAUUAAUUUCAAAAUUACAGUAACAAAUCGGUUAACAUUAUUAAGGGAUAAAAAUUUUCAACAAAUUAUUUAAUUAAUUUUUAUGUUUUGAAAUUUAAAUUUUCAAUAUUGGAAAAAUUUUGAAUUCUUGGCAAUGUGAUAAAUAAAUACAAUUUGAAAUUUUUUUAAUAUAUUAUUUUAGUUUCUACUGUUUUUUCACUUUAAUUCUUAAAUUUUUUUUUACCAUGAUUUGUACUAAAAGGCUUUUUUUUCUAGUGACCAAAAUGAAAGCAAUAUAAAUGUUGGGUGACUAAAAUAAAAAUGUGAACAUGAUAUGGGGUGUAUAGUUAAUCAACGUUAAAAACUUAACGGUUGGGUAACUAAAAUGAAAGUACCUAAAAGUUAAGUGAUGAAAUUGUAACGAUUUCAUUUUGAACGACUAAAAUAAAAGCAUCUUAAAAGUUUGGUAAACAUAAUGAUAUAUGUGUAUUUUGUUUAGGUACUUAAAUUAGUGAAUGAUUGUAAAGAAAGAUUAAGAAAAAGAUUGAAAUGAUUUUUUGAAUUAUUCUACAAAGCCUUAAUUAAUUUUUAAAAAUUAUAAAAAAAAAUUAUAGAAAACUAUAUAAGAAUUAUUCACAUGACAAAAAAAAUAUUAAAAUUUUAUAAAAAUAUAAAAAUUGUUGAAAUUUAAACAAUUAUUGUAUUAGUAAUUUUAAAUUUUUUAAUUUUUGUUAAUAAUUUAUAUAUUUUAAAAAAAUUAAAAUUUUAGAAUAAUUUAAUAGUUUUUUGAAAACUUUUUUAGAACUUUUUAAUAAAAAAAUUUACUACUUUUCAAUCAAAAUCAUUAUUCAUCGCUCAAACACUCACAUUUAGCCACCAAACAUUGAACUUAUUAUCACUUAAAGUCUGCAUUAACUCCUCAUACAAAAUCGAAGAUUUAAAACCUUUAAAAUAAGAAAAUUUUAAAAAUAUUAUAUUUUUAUAUUUUUAAUAGUUUUAACUAUUUUAAUAAAUUUUAUAUAAAUUUUAUAAAUUUCUAUAGUUUCAUUUAUAAUUUUUCAUGAUGUAUAUAUCUUACAAUUUUCUUGUAUUUUUCAUAAUAUAUGAUAAUAUUUAAUAAAUUUUAUAAUUUUCAAUAUUUUUCUAAAAUUUCUAAAAGAAUUAUAAUAUUUUUAUUUCUUUUCAUGUUUUUCUUAAUAUAUUAAUAAUAUUUUAUAAAAUUUAAUCACUUUUUCUAAUUUAAAUAAUUUUUAAACUUAGAUAAUUAAAAGUUAAUUAAACCCUUAUAUAAUAAUUAAAAAAUCAAUUAAACCCUCCACAUUAGUAAUUUUUCACGACAAAUGUCAUGUUAGUCACCACCUCAUCCUUUUUUUCAUGUUAGUUGUCAUGCCAACAGUUAACGAUUCAGGACUCAAUUGAUUGCUAACUUUUGAAUUCGAAUUUUGAUUAGAUAACUGAUUUAGUUAAAAAUUUAAUUGAUUUUUAAUUUUUUUAAGAUGAUUUUUGUAGCAUUUAGACCUUUUAUUUAAUGUGUUGAUAAUAGAGCUAAUAUAUUUAUAUCGAUUUUGUAUGUAGGCUAGUUAAAAUUUGAAUCUGCAACAUAUAAGGAUUAGUUUAUAUAAAAUAUUUCAUUUAGAAUUAAAUUUAUUUUAUAUAAGGAUUUUUUUUUAAAUGGCAUUAAAUUAAGUUGGAUCGCCGGUGAGCUGUUCUGAAUUUCUUGGAUUUGGGGGUUUGUUACGUGCUUUUUGAGUAUUGGGCCUUUUAUGUUACAUUUUAGUUUCAAGUGUUUUUCCUUUAGUACGUGGUUUCUAAUUUCUAUUUUAUGUAAUUUUGUGUUGUAAUUAAAUAAUUUCAUUAUUAUUAACAAAAAUUACAGGUAAAAGAAAAAAAUUGAAUUAUUAUUAGGUAGGUUGAACUUUCAAACAUCCCACUUCACCUAUUCUCAUAAGUCCAAUCCCACGACUCUAUUAUACCAACCAAUAAAUUUUUCAAUUCCUUGUGUCGUGUUUUUCAUAUAAUAUUGGGUGAUUUAUAUGAUUAGAAUUCAUGUUAAGCCACUGUUUCACAUUAGUUUUAAUCAUUUAUUCAUUCUUUAAUAAUUGUAUUUGAAUAUUUACAUAAAAUUUAAUGUUUUAAUAAUUAGAAAAUAAUUUACGAAAAAUCAUUUUAGCUUUCCAUUUAAUUUUUCGUCCUUUUUUAGUCCUUAAACACGUGUUUCUUGUUAAAUCACCUCAAAAUUAAUGAAAGAAUUAGUAUUUUUUAAUUUUGUUGACGUGACAUAUAAGUGGAUGACAAAGUCAUCAUUUAAUUAAUUUUUAAAAGUUUUAAAAAUUCAAAAAAUUAUUUUUAAAAUUAAAAAUCAUUAAAUCAUUAAUAUUUAUAACAUAAAAAUGAAUAUUUUUAAAUUUUAAAAAAAUUAAUUAAAUGUUGACAUGUCAUUCACAUGGCAAUUCAUGUGUAUGCCACAUUAACAAAGUUAACAAAUAUUAAUUUUUUCAUCUAUUUUGAAGUGAUUUGACAAAAAAUAUAAGUUCAAAAAUUAAAUGAAUGUGUAAAAUAAUUUUCUUUUUUAAAGUUGGAGAGUGAAAUAAAUUAAUAGAGCUUGUAUUUCAACAAAAUCUUAACAUAAUAAUAAAAGUAUUACGUUAUAAAAUAAAUUUGAUUCCAAAUGACAUAAUCCCCACCUCUGCGUUCAUGUUUUUAUAUCAUAUUACAUGAGAUUUUUAAUACAUUAAUUAAAAUGAAGGAAAACUCAAAUCCUCAAUGAAAUAAUAUCUUACUUUAUAGUAUACUAAUUGAUCGCACUAAGGUUAACUAUAUUUUUAUCAUGAUCUACGGAUAAAAUAAAUUAGCGGAAAAAGUAUAAAGCAUCCUUUCGGUUGGUUCCUACGCACGUUCAUCAAUACAAACCGUGUUUCUUUUACAACAUCAAUUGAAUGGAAGAAAAAUAGUUUUAUAGUUUAAAAAUAAAAAAAAAAUAGAAAUUUUAUCACGUGUAAAAACUAUAAAUUUUAAAUAUACAUAUAUAUAUAUGUUUAAAAUAAUAAAACUUAUAACUUGAAAUUAAUUAAUAAUAACAACACAUUAAAUAUGUAUGAUAUUAAAAUAAAAAAUAGAUUAAAUUAUUUAUCACGAUAUUAUUAUUAAUACAUGUGCAAAUAUCACAAAUUUAAAACACAGAUGUGUGUUUAAAAAUAACAUAAAAUAAACAAUGAAAUGUAUGGCUUGAAACAAAUUAGUCAUAAUAAUAUAUGAAAUAUACACAAUGUUAAAAUAAAAAAUUAGAUUAAAUUGUGAGUAAAACAAAAUUUAAAUAGAUAAAUACAUCAUAUUUACAACACCAAAUGCAUUACAAUUGUUUAUUAUGGUGCUGUCAUUAAUUGCAAGUUAGUGUCGGAGUUAGCUUGUAAUACCAAUUCAAUUAACAACAUUAUUAUAGAUAUAGAUAUACAACUGAUGGAGAUAAUAAAUUGUGCAUAUUAAAAUAAAAAUAUAUAAAAUACAUUAAAAUGAAGCUUUGGUUGAUACCAAUCUAAUUGGUAAAUUUAAGGUUAUACCAAUCUAAUUUGUGUGGGUUUAAAUUCUACCGUAUGUAUAUUUUUUUUUAUAUUUUGUUAAAAUAAAAAGACUAAAGUACCUCAAAUAAUAUAAUUUGUUUUAAUUACGAUAGAAUAUUUUCAUAAUUUCCCUAACUGAGUUGAUACUCGGUUGAUUCAUAACAAAAACUUAGUUACGGGCUUAAAUAAUAGUAUAAAUUAAAAUGAAACUUUGAUUAAGUGGUAAAUUUAAAGUUUUACUAAUCUAAUUGGCAUAGAUUCAAAUCCCAUCAUAUGCAUAUUUUACUUUUUAUUAUUUUUUGUUAAAAUAAAAAGACUAAAGUACCAUUAAAUAAUGUAACACGUUUUAAUUAUGGAAGGACAUUUUCGUAGUUUCCCUAUCCGAGUUGGUGCCUGGUUGACUCGUGACACCAACUUAAUUAGGAGCUUAAAUAAUAGUAUAAAUAUACAACUAGUGGAGGUAAUAAAUUGAGCAUAUUACAACAAAAAUGUUAACAAUAUAUUAAUAUUAAGUUUUUAGUUUAGUGGUAAAUCUAAAGUUUUACUAAUUUAUCAAUUGGCCUGGGAUCAAAUCACAUAAUAUAUUUUAUUGGUUUUUUAAAUAAAAAGACUAAAAUACCCUCUAAUAAUAUAAUUUAUUUUAAGGGUAAAUUACACCAAUAGUCACUUAAUUUUGGGGUAGCUGACGAAACAGUCACCUUGGUUUCCUUUCAGUCACUCAACUUUAGAAAAGUGACCAAAUAGUCCUUUUUGCCAUUUUUCGUCACAAACAUCACGACAUAGUGACAUGACAGAUGAUGGCGUGAAAACCUUUCAGUUGGCCGAUUACCACCAAUUUAACAGCCCUAUCAGUACUAAUUUAGGGUUUAAGAAGAGAAAAAA